rnacentral:lncRNA from 1 species
GGUCACGGCUGGGCUCGCGUCGCGGGGAAGACGGCCGGUAACUACAUAGAGGGUGAGCCCUUGAUGAAUAAUCUCGAGAAGUACUAUGUGAGAAAAGAAAUGGAUGAAUGAACUUCCCAUUUGUCUUAUCGUGUAUUUACAUCAUUUUGUUGUCCUCGUUUUGUUGUCAAUAAGAAAUGGGACAGAGAACUUGGGUCUAGCCGGUGGUAAAGACCUCCUGAAGGGUUGUCUGGAUUUCGUCAAUAUUAGAGCUCUACAAUCUAGUCUUUUCAUAUAUGCUUCACCAACCUACUAGUGCUACAUCAGAAUUUUUACAUAAAGUUCGUGACAUGAGCACAAGGGUUUAUGCACUAAGCCUUUAUGUCUUGUAUCCGAAAGACAUGAAAAGAGAAUGUUUUUAUGUCAGUAGAAGAAUCCAAAGCUUAUGGACUUGUCGAUAUUGCAGGGGGUGAAAUGAUUGACGGCAUUGCAUGAGUAUGUGUUGUCUGUGAUGGUGCGGUGCCUCCACGCCUGAGUGUGAUGUGCGUGUAUCUACGUUAAUCGGUGUGUUUGAAGACAAUGUCGCGCAGCCGUGAGGAAUCUAGUUCCAAGACAAAAAGGCACUGUGCGCGUCUGUCGACGUGGUGCAUUAUGUAGCGUAGCCCGACCGCCAUGGUAGGCACGUACGUGUCCAUCUCGUGUGCUCAGGUGUGACGCGCGCACAAAUGGCCCCGAUGGAUCAGUCAGACAUGACAGCGCUAGCUACUAUCCGACAAGAAAAACGAGAAAAUGCAUUGCAUGCAUGCUUGGGCCAUGGGACAUGGCUAGCUGAUCAGCCCCUCCACUUGCAUGCUGGAGCUACCCACGGCCAGGACAGGGGACAUUAUGACCCAUGCCCAUCAGUUCCACUUACAGUGGUCACCACUUAGAACGCUUUUGUUAUCUGCAUCGUUUUUUGCCACAUUGCAUACUUGUCCUAAUUAAGUCUAGCUGAGCAUAUACAGGCUAAAAACCAACAUCUGUAUUUAGUUUAGUUACCUGCAUUCAAAACCAACAUCUGUAUUUAGUUUGGUUACCUGCAUCCUCUCUAGCCUGUAUGUGUCCAAAUCCAAGGCCUCCUGUUUGGUUGCCGACUUGUUUGAGAGGAAUCACAAGUUCGAUUGUUUGGUUACAUCCAGGACAGUUAGGUGGUAACCACCUCCAUUGUUUGGUUACAUCCAGGACAGUUGGGUGGUAACCACCUUCACGAUGUGGUGAGGUUAUCAAAAGCACAAAUGAACUACUAAGAACUAAACUACGAGCAAUAAAACAAUUUUAGGCACAAACACAAGUCUUAACCACGCAUCACAAGUUCUAAACGAACAUAUACUCUAAGUCUUAAACAAAACACAAGUCUUAAACCAAGGACCAACAAGGAACGGACAAUAGGAGAUUUGGCGGUCACGGUGAAUGUGUUGUCAUGAUCUGGUGAACGGCGGUGAAGGUGGCCCAACCCUAAUCAAGGGUGACCCUACAGUUGAUCACCCUCACCAUCAUCCUCCAUGCGCAGCCGGUGUUCGUCCUGAACUUGAACUCUGUAGGGAUGGCGAGGAAGUGGUUCGUGAAGUCCAGAGGCAAUGGCAGACUCCAUCUUUGGAGCAAGGAUAAUCUUGCAGAAGUGGUUUGAUCCUGACUCUUGAUGGUAGUGGUCAUAGUUCCUCCGCUUGGCGCUUGGGUGAUCCUGCGUCGGCACUUCCACCAAUGGCGGCACGACCUCCUUGCCCUUAUCCAUCUGCAUUAUGAGCAACACGCAGUUCAAUGGUUAGCAUUCAUUCAUAUUGACCAAACGCUCAUAUAUUAACCCACCCUACUAACCCAGCAGCGCACUCAAACCCCCUCUAUUUCACCACCUCUCUUCUUCCACCCAACUCUCUGUUUCAUCACCUCUCCCUCGCCAUGAACUCCAACUCCAACCCCAACCUUUUCUCAUGGGGCAUUGGAUGGAGGGCCUUCUUUCUUAAGUGCUCGCUCGGUGAACGCAAGAAGUUUGAGCACACCAUGGAAGUGUGCUCGAACUUUAGCAGCAUUGAUGACAUGCACAAGGAGGCUGAUGAUGUGAUGAAGAAGGCUAUGUCAGACGAGCUGAAGACACUGAUUCUGGACCCAGCCAAGGGCGCAAUGUCAGUGGACGUCCUGUGUUGGGCCAUGAAUCAGGCAGACUCCGGUGACGCAAGACAGUGGGCAAGAUGGGCCAAGUACAGGCAGUACAAGGCGCCUCAAGACCUGCGUGCCGCGACGUACUGGAGUAGUAUGUUCGGGUCGCCGGAGCCCGACAACGACGAGGUGCAGAUGGUGGCCAGGGUGCUGGCGGCAGGCGACCGUGGAAGACCCUUCGUUCUUGAUGAAGACGGUGAGGACGAAGAUGAUGAGGAAGAAAAGAAGAUGGCUACCCCCCGCCCACCGCUCGACGCGACUCUAGGGUCAUCGCAGCUAGACUAGAAAUUUGUAUCACAAUCCCCACCCCCGAUGUAAUCGAAAAAUAACAUAUGAACCCUAGUAGCCGUCGAUGCANNNNNNNNNNNNNNNNNNNNNNNNNNNNNNNNNNNNNNNNNNNNNNNNNNNNNNNNNNNNNNNNNNNNNNNNNNNNNNNNNNNNNNNNNNNNNNNNNNNNNNNNNNNNNNNNNNNNNNNNNNNNNNNNNNNNNNNNNNNNNNNNNNNNNNNNNNNNNNNNNNNNNNNNNNNNNNNNNNNNNNNNNNNNNNNNNNNNNNNNNNNNNNNNNNNNNNNNNNNNNNNNNNNNNNNNNNNNNNNNNNCCCAUGGGUCCGUAGUUAGUAGCUAGACGGCUUCCUCACUCUCGUUUGAUUCUCAAUACAAUGGUCUCUUGGAGAUCGAUAUGAUGUAACUCUUUUUGCGGUGUGUUUGUUGGGAUCUGUUGGGGAUAUAGCUACUAGGUAUGACCCGCUCAGGAGGGGCCGGGUUAUACUUAUGGCGAUUCAUCAUGUGAAGCCCAAGGCGAUACUUGAAGAUGGCGGUUCAGUUAAGGGACCAAGGCCCAAAGGCGGCUUAAGGCCCAUAGAGAUAAACCGCCAUAUAUGUAUGACUUGUAUUGUAAGGCAGGAAUAGAUAGAGACCGAGCCGGACACUGUUUAUGAGUCGGCCGGGACUCUGUGAGCCGCUGGGCAUUGUCCUCUGUAUAUAAAGGGAUGACCCGGCAGUAGUUCAGGCCAAGUAACAUCAGAUCGAAAGCUAGGUCAAGCGGAUUCGCUCCCUAGUAAUCGAGACAUAAGCAAUCCCACCUCAAACUGGACUAAGCCAUUACCUUCACCGCAAGGGGCCAAACCAGUAUAAACUCCCGUGUCCUUUGUCCCGUUUUAACCCCUUUAAGCUUCCUAGUUGCGAUGGCUCCACGACUAAGUCCUUUUGCUAGGACAUCUUCCGUGACCUUUCCAUGACAGUUGGCGCCCAUCGUGGGGGCAGCGCACGGUGGAUUUGAGUUCUUGAAGGGCAAUUUCGAAGGGCUCAAGGGAUACACAGUGGGCCGGAUGACCAAGAGUCGUCGCGGCAAGCUCUACAUCGACGGCGCAGGCUGGGGUCCUGCGGCCGGCUCAAUUGAGUACGGGUACCGGGUCCCCUUCGGCGGAAUCCACGUCUUCAUCGGCAAGAUCGGCGAGCCAGGCCCUGAGCCAGAGAUCUGCACCGACAUCGUCGAGACGGCUCAGCGUGCGAGGCCCGCCUGAGCUCAAAGCGUGUCUUCGUGGGAUGCAUCCAUGGAGCGAAAUUUGAUGAAGGAUCCAUGUCUGGCGGUGAAACGGUCAUCUACUCUGAUGGUGAAUCGUCCACGGGUGAGACGAAUUCGUUGUAUCAAUUGCAAGAUGGCGGGCUUGGGGGCUGUUCUGAUGGCAACAGUAUUCCGGACCCCUUUGAGCCUCCAAACAGAGUCGGGAUCUUCAUGACUGGCAUGCAACCCGGGCAAAACUCUACGGCUGUGGCAGCAAUGACUUUCGGGUCAGCAGCGGUAACGGCAGUCGGGGCAGGAGACCUUGCGCGCCCGCCAGCUCAGGUUGUGAUGACUUUAAUGGAUAAGAUGACAGCUCUGUUAACCGUCGUGGUCAAUCCGGCGAAUCAAGCUCAACAUGAUGCAGAAGUAGCACAGUUACGUGAGGAGGUAGCACAAGCCAAGGAGAACCUGGCGGCAGAGGACGUCAGGAUGGCCGUAGAGCGGGCAACUUUAGAUGCCCGGGCCCAGGAGAUUCAAUCAGAGGCUUUUUAGCUUACAAUGGAUCAGAACGCAUCAAAUGAGAUCAUGAGGAGAAAGCACCAGAAGGCUCAGUCCCGUCUGCCUACGGGUUAUGAGCCUAGAAACCUCUUCCGCACGCCUAGUGCAGGGACCAGUAACCCGCCAGAGGUAAACCGGGCUGCAGCGCCCGGAGCUGGGACGCCGGUUCAGCCGCGUGUGAUGGAACCCCCUCGUCUGAAUGCUGCUCCACCUCACAAUGUACCGACACCACCGGGUCAUUAUUCUCACCCUUUGGAGAACAUGAUCACUGCAGCGACACGAUUGGCGGCUCUCCCGGUGGAUGGCGACUCUCUAACGGCGGUUGAAACACGAAGGGUCAGAGAACUUCUUCAGAUAGCUCUGGCACAAAAGGAGGCGUAUUCUUAUAGUCGAGACAAGAUUCAUUCAACCCCUCGCCCAAGCCGAAGCCGGAGGUAUAGCAGGCACAUGGACUCACCAGCCGCGUCAAGCAAUGCCCAGCGCCGCGAUCAGCCGCGCGGGUAUGACCCGGCACGUGAUGGAAUUCCUAAUGUGGUUGAUCAAGACAGAUUGCGUUAGGAAGCCGAGCGUGCGGCUCAGCAAGCGGCUUAUCAGCCCCUUCCGGUUUAUCCGACGACUUCAAUUGAGGUAGGCGUGACCUCUAAGACUGCGGGCGUACCUUGUUUGGUACCGGCUCUGCAUAAUGAGCGUUUGCCCAAGGAUUUCUAGGGACCUCGAAAGGUGCCUAAUUACACGGCCGACUUACCCCCUCGGGCGUGGAUUGAAAGCUACGAGAUGGCCAUGGAGUUACUGGAAGUUAGUGACGCUGCAAUGGCCAAGUACUUCACCAUGAUGCUGGAUGGAAUGGCCCGUACUUGGUUGAAGGGGCCGCCAGCUAAUUCCAUCGGUUCAUGGGCAGAGUUAAAGGCCCGGCUUAUUCAGAACUUUAAAGACACAUGCAAGCAGCCCAUGUCGAUUGUGGACUUGACUGAUUGCAAGCAAGAGGAGGGUGAAUCCACGACCCAUUGGGUGCGUCAGGUCAAGUCUAUAGUACAUUCAUCCGAUAAAAUGGACGCCGGCUUUGUAGUCUUAUUGUUGGAGAAAAAAAAUGCUGUUUUGAGCCUCUGAAAUAGAAGCUGGGGCGGCUCAAGCGCGAUUGUAGUGACAUGGGGCAGCUGAUGGCGGCUCUAGUCAAGUACGCCGACUCUGAUAGUACCGAGGAUCCCGAGUCUGACGAUGAGAAGACAAGGAAGGGAAAGAAGAACGGCAACGCUAAGGGCCCGCAGCAUAACCCGGCGAAUCAAGGGGCAAUAACAAACGUAAGUAUGAUGGUAGCUCGGAGUUUGUGGCUAACACCAAUGCGCAAGGCAACAAUCAACGACGUAAGGGGAGGCCGCCUCCUCGGUCCGGCGGGUCAGGUCCCACUCUUGAGCAGUAGCUAAAUGAGCCCCGUCCAAGGCAUGGCACUCAGGAGAAACCAGCCACUCACCUGUGGAAGGAUUGUACGAUUAUGAAGGCUUUCAAGAAUUCUAAUAUGUUUGACAACAAUCAUGGACCGGGCGGCGGCUCAGGCGGCGGCGGUUUUCAUGGCCCGGGUUAUGGAGGUGGCGGCUCUAAUUCCGGCUUUCAAGGCCACCAAAAUAAUCAGGGUCGAUAUAAUCAAGGCAACCAGGGUGGUUAUAACCAGCAAUCUGGCCAAGGGGCACUAGUAGAAAAAGGACCUAAUGUGAGACACAUUAGUCCCGGUUCGAUUUUAGCCCGGUACUAAUGGUAUCAUUAGUGCCGGUUCGAACGACUAUGCAUUAAUGCCGGUUCGUUAUGAACCUUUAGUACCGGUUUGUGCCACGAACCGGUACUAAAGGGGUGGUGGUAGGCUUUAGUACCGGUNNNNNNNNNNNNNNNNNNNNNNNNNNNNNNNNNNNNNNNNNNNNGAAAAAGGACCUAAUGUGAGACACAUUAGUCCCGGUUCGAUUUUAGCCCGGUACUAAUGGUAUCAUUAGUGCCGGUUCGAACGACUAUGCAUUAAUGCCGGUUCGUUAUGAACCUUUAGUAGUGGUUCGUGCCACGAACAGAGACUAAAGGGGUUUGACCUAUAGUCCCGGUUGGAGACACAAACCGGGACUAUAGGAAUAUUUUCAAACUCUACCCCCCCCCUAUGUAUCGUCAUUUCAGUUGUGAAAAAUACAAAAGAAAAUGAUAAAAAAAUUCAAAAAUAAAAUUCUUCGAGAAGUAGUUAUAUUACUACAUCUACUAGUUAGGAAAAUUAAAAAACUUAAAUUUGUACAUGUUUUGCAAAAAGUGUAGGGAAAAUGUAAAACGGCUAUAACUUUUGCAUACGAUGUCGGAAAAAACGUAUAAUAUAUCAAAACAUUCAGCAAAAAAAAUGUAAAACGGCUAUAACUUUUGCAAUUUUUUAGAAUCCUCAAAUUUCAAAAGGAAAAAAAGAUAUGCUCAAAUUUCAGUUUUUUUUUAAUUUUGGUUAAAUCCGGUCAAACUAUGCUCAAACUACUUAUUCAAGAAGUAUUAAUGUUGCAACAUAAUUAUUCAAGAAUAUUAGUGUUACUAAAUAAUUAUUUCAAUAUUUUGAAUUUUGGUCAAAUCUGGUCAAACUAUGGUCAAACUCAUUCAAGAAAUAUUAGUGUUACUAACUGUUUUUUAGAAUAAUAGUUCCAAACUCAAACGGUGAAACGUGUGACCUAAUGCUCAAGCUAAACUGCUGAGGGUUAAUAGGAUUGACAGCUUACAUUUGUCAGGAAAACAACAAGUGCAGACUUGGAAAAUAGGGGAAAUAGAACUCCGAAAUUAAGCGUGCUCAGGCUGGGGGAGUGGGAGGAUGGGUGACUGGCCGGGAAGUUAGACGAUUUGGAAUGAGUGAUCCACACUUGAGUAGUUAAGAGGGGUGAUUAGAGACUAAAUCAUCAAAUAAUUUAAAAAAUUGAAAAUGAAAAAAAAACAAUUUUUUUUACAAAAUUUUAAAAAAAAUUCAAAAAAAUAUUACCAACCGGUACUAAAGGUCCCCCAUACCACGGCGCGAGCUCAUGCCAUGUGGUGGGCCUUUAGUGGCAGUUCGUGCCGAACCGGUACUAAAGGGGGGGGGGGGCUUUAGUCUCCACCCUUUAGUGCCGGUUGCAGAACCGGCACUAAAGGCCCUUAAGAACCGGUUUUAAAGCUCCAUUUUCUACUAGUGAGGGUUAGCAGCAGCAGCAAUCUGGAUAUCAGAGUAAUCCAAAGCAGGUGAAUAGUGGGAAGUAUCAUGUGUUUACCACCAGUUUGUGCAACGAGACCAGAAACUUCAUAAGAGGGCGGUGAAUGCUGUUGAGCCGGCAGUUCCUCGUUACUUGUGGUGGCCUGAGCAGCCUAUUCUGUGGAGUAGAGAGGAUCACCCUCCCCGGAUUGACAAUCUGAGUCACUUGGCUUUGGUGGUGGCGCCUCAAGUUGGUGGAUAUAAAUUCACUAAGGUACUCAUGGAUGGAGCAGUAGCAUCAACAUCCUCUAUUAUGAGACUUUUCGUCGUAUGGGGUUAACUGAUAAAAAUCUGAAGACGUCCAACACUAUUUUCCACGGAGUGGUGCCUGGUAAGUCGGCGUACCCAGUGGGCAAGAUGAGCUGGAGGUGGACUUUGGAGAUGAGCAUGAUUCCAGGGCUGAGAAGUUAACUUUUGAGGUGGUCAAAAUCAAAAGCCCAUAUCACGCUCUGUUCGGCCGGCCGGCUUAUGCAAAGUUCAUGGCCCGUCCAUGUUAUGUUUAUCUAUAGCUCAAGAUGCCGGGUUAUAAGGGAACUAUCACAGUGCAUGGGAGCCGGAAGAUAGCCCUGGAAUGUGAGGAAGGCAAUGCUGCUUACGCUGAGUCUGUCUAUGCAAUAGAGGAGUUGAAGGUUUACAAGGACAAUGUUAACCCGACAGACAUGACAUCUUUGAAAAAACCAACUACAGAGCAUGAGCCGGUGAUGAAGUUUAAGUCGGCCGAUGACACCAAGCUGGUUGAUUUUUUUCCUGGCGACUCAUCUAAGCAGUUCAGUAUCAGUGCUAACCUGGAUUCCAAAUAGGAAAGCACGCUCAUCGAGUUCAUCCGUGAGAACCGGGACAUCUUUGCAUGGAAACCUUCUGACAUGCCGGGUGUACCAAGAGAACUAGCUGAGAACACUCUCAAUAUUGAUCCAAAAUUUAAGCCGGUCAAGCAGUUUCUUCGGCGGUUCAAUGAGGAGAGGCAUAAGGCCAUUGGUGAGGAAGUGGCCCGGCUUUUGGCGGCUGGGUUCAUUGUUGAAGUUUUUUAUCCAGAAUGGUUGGCUAACCCGGUGCUAGUGCUUAAGAAGAAUGGCACCUGGCGCAUGUGUGUGGAUUACACGGACUUAAACAAGGCUUGUCCGGCUGAUCCUUUUGCUCUCCCUCAUAUUGAUCUAAUCAUUGAUGCUAUGGCGGGUUGCGAGCGUUUGAGCUUUUUGGAUGCUUAUUCUGGUUAUCAUCAGAUCAAGAUGGCAGUUAAGGACUAGGAGAAGACGGCUUUCAUUACUCCCUUUGGAGCCUUUUGCUAUGUGUCUAUGCCUUUUGGGCUCAAGAGUGCCCAGGCGACUUAUCAGCGAUGUGUGCGGAAUUGUCUUCACAGUCAGAUUGGGCGCAAUGUUCAUGCUUAUGUGGACGACAUUGUGGUGAAGUCCAGACAGAAGGAGACCUUGAUAGAUGACUUGAAGGAAACCUUUGAUAAUCUCCGGGUCUACAAGAUGAUGCUUAACCCGGCCAAGUGCGUUUUUGGUGUGCCAGCAGGCAAGCUUUUGGGUUUUCUGGUUUCUAACAGAGGCGUUGAGGCUAACCCGGAGAAAAUCAAGGCCAUCACCUCCUUGGCUAAGCCGACAUGUAUCAAUGAUGUUCAGCGUCUGGCGGGUUGUAUUGCCGCCUUAAGCCGGUUCAUAAGCCGGUUGGGCGAGAAGGCUAUACCACUGUAUCAGAUGAUGAAGAAAACAGAGAACUUCGUCUGGAGUGAUGCUGCUAAUGACGCGUUUGAGGAUUUGAAGAGGCAGAUAGCCGAGCCGCCAUUCCUUGAUAAGGAGCCAUUGUUGUUAUACGUGGCUGCUAACACCCAUGCUAUCAGUGUGGCCACUGUGGUGGAGCGCAAGGAGGCUGGUAAAGAAUAUCCGGUUCAACGGCCGGUUUACUACAUCAGUGAGGUGCUUAUUGAGUCCAAGCAGAGAUAUCCACACUGGCAGAAGCUCGUUUAUGGGGUGUUCAUGGCCAGCCGGAAGCUUAAACAAUAUUUUCUGGGUCAUCCCAUCACUGUGGUCAGUUCUGCUCCUUUAGGAGAUAUCAUUCAAAACAAAGAAGCCACAGGACGAGUCGCCAAGUGGGCCAUUGAGCUUGGCCUCAUGGUUUGAAGUAUAUGCCUCGCACUGCUAUCAAGUCUCAGGCACUGGUGGAUUUCAUCAACGACUGGACAGAACUACAGAUGCCUGAAGAGAAGCCGGAUAACACAUAUUGGACUAUUCAUUUUGAUGGGUCCAGGCAAUUGGAAAGCUCAGGGGCUGGAGUUAUCUUAGCUUCCCCUCGAGGUGACAAAUUUUGUUAUGUGCUACAGUUGAUGUUUCCCUAUACUAACAAUGCAACUGAGUAUGAGGCCUUGCUUCAUGGUCUUCGGAUGGCUAAGGAGAUCAGCUUAAGCUGGGUAAGGUGCUUUGGCGACUCAGAUUUGGUGGCUCAACAAGUCUCAGGCAAAUGGGAUUCUAAGGAUCCCCUCAUGGCGGCUUUAUCGCCGUGAAGUUGAUGCUGUUGCUGGACACUUCAAGGGUUAUCAAGUGGAGCACGUUGAUCGCAGAAAGAAUGAGGCAGCCGAUGCUUUAAGCCGGUUGGGGUCUUAGCGUAAGCGCGUGCCAUCUAACACUUUCUUGGAUAUUCUGCAUAAUCCUUCUGUCAAGUUACCUACAGAGGAAGACUUGGCUGUUCCUGACCCGGAAGCACAAUUGGUGGUAGCUCUUCACAUCAUCCCAGAUUGGACAGUGCUAUACUUGGCUUCCAUGACACGGGGCGAGUUGCCUGAGGAUGAAACCUUGGCCAGCCAGAUAACCUGGCGGUCUAAGUAAAUGACAAUUGCCAAUGGCGAGUUACAUCAUCGCAGUGUCACUGGGGCAUUUCAUCGUUGUGUUUCUCCUGAGGAAGGUCAAGAGAUUCUUCGUGAAAUUCAUGAAGGGGAUUGUGGCCAUCAUGCCGGUUCAAAGUCCCUUGUAGCCAAAGCUUUUCGUCAUGGAUUCUAUUGGCUGACGGCUCACGCUGAUGCAGAGGAUUUGGUCAGUAAAUGUGAUGGUUGUUAUAAAUUCUCUCGAUGAGCUCAUGUGCCGGCUCAAGAAUUGAGGAUGAUUCCAAUUACUUGGCCGUUUGCAGUCUGGGGACUUGACAUGGUUGGGCCUUUCAAAAGGUCCAAAGAUAAAAAAGCCACCUCUUGGUGGUGAUUGACAAAUUCACAAAGUGGGUUGAAGCAGAGCCAGUCAGUAAGUGUGACGCGGCAAUGGUGGUUCAAUUCAUGAAAAAGGUGAUUUUCCGUUUUGGUUUUCCCCACAGUAUCAUAACUGAUAAUGGCACUAACUUGUCCAAAGGUGCUUUGAAAGAAUUUUGUCAACGUGAGCAUAUUCGUCUUGAUGUGUCGUCAGUAGCUCACCCUCAGUCUAAUGGGCAAGCUGAAAGAGCCAAUCAGGAAAUUUUGAGAGGCAUCAACCCCCAGCUUAUGGUUCCUUUACAACGGACGUCGGGUUGUUGGGUGGAGGCCUUACCUUAUGUCAUAUGGAGUAUCAAUACUACCCCCAAUAGGUCUACGGGUUACACGCCUUUUUUCAUGGUUUACGGAGCAGAGGCGGUUCUCCCUAGUGACAUCCUUCAUGACUCUCCUCGCGUGGCGGCUUACGUUGUAGCUGAUAAUGAGCAGGCACGUCAAGAUGCACUGGACCUCUUGGAUGAGAAGCGUGACCUUGCAGCAGCCCAUUCGGCGAUUUAUCAACAAGACCUGCGACAUUACCAUAGCCGCCGGGUUAAAUCCAGAACCUUUCAAGAAGGUGAUUUGGUGCUCCGGCUCAUCCAGGAUCAAACUGAUAUGCACAAGUUGUCCCCACCUUGGGAAGGGCCCUUUGUGGUCAGCAAGAAUUUGAACAACGGGUCAUACUACCUUAUCGAUAUUCGAGAGCACAAAAACUCACGUAAGUCGAAGGAGGAGACCCGCCGUUCGUGGAACAUCGCUCAUCCUCGGCCUUACUACACUUGAGCCACCGGCUCUUAUGAUGUACAUAUUUUUUACGAUGUAUCCAUUAUGAUAAAUAAUAAAGCAGGACCUCUAUCCUAUUCAUCCUCAAACGAUCACAUGUUUUCACCAUCAUAAUUCCAAAGACCAAUUGGGGACUGAUCGUAUUCGAAUCUAACUUAACUCCUUUGGCACAGCUUCCUGAUCGUAUCCGAAUCAUAGCUGAUCAAACAACUUGAUCAUUUGGGGUCUGGAUCGUAUUCGAAUCAUAGCUUAACCCCUUUUGGUCCGACUUUGAUCGUAUUCGAAUCAGAGUCGUCAAAAAAGUCUCAAGGUCAUUUGGGGGCUUACUGGUCAAACAUAGGUCGUAUUGGAACCAAAGAGAACAUAGCUGUCGGUACCCUCUUAAUCGGCGCAAUGCCAAGGUCACUAGGGGGCUUCUUGAUUGUAUUCGAAUCAUAGCUUAACCCCUUUUGGUCCGACUUUGAUCGUAUUCGAAUCAGAGUCGUUAAAAAAGUCUCAAGGUCAUUUGGGGGCUUCCUUUCCAAACAGAGGUCGUAUUCGAACCAAAGAGAACAUAGAUGUCGGUACCCUCUUGAUCGGCCCAAUGCCAAACCCAAUAGGAGGCUUACUGAUCAUAUUCGAAACAUAGCUUAACCCCUUUUGGUCCGGCUUACUGAUCGUAUUUGAAUCAGAAGCCUUGCUUUUUUCUCUUUGUUUGGCUUAAGUUUUUUGAAAACAAUCUUUGGGGUUUGUCUUGAGACAUUUUUGAUCAUAUCUGAGGCAUAUAUAUAUAUAUAUGUGGUUUCUAUUUAACCCGGCUUAACUUUGGACGAUAAGUCGCCAGCAUAUGACAAUCAUCAAGCAUUUGGAAGUCUUGGCUUCUAAAGAUUGGGUUAUCACCUUUACUGCACAGGUCACGUAAACCGGCAGUGAAAAUUCAAUAUCACAUGUAUGAUAUUAUUAUUAUAGUUAUGUUUCAAAGUUAUGAUUUAUAACAGGCUUAUCUGUGACUCCUUUUUUCACAUCAAUAGUUAUAUGUGAGAUAUUAUGACCCGCCCUGCGGUAAACCGUCAAGCGUUCUUGUGAUCUAUUUCUGUGUGCAGGAUGUUUCAAGGACUUUCUUAUGCACAAGGAAAAUAGAUGUUAAGUAUAACAAGGGUAAAUAUAAAAGAGGCGGCUUAAAAGUGGUGAGCACCAAAAACGUGCAAAAUGGCACGACAAAUCAAAGUCAUUUCUACCCUAUUACAUGACUCACUGAGUCCAAAUGAUUAAACUAUUUUUUUAGAAGGCUACUAAUAUGAGCCGCCUGGCGGGUCAAUUCUCUUGUUGGCCUAAUGCUUCUGGAUCAACCCUCGCCACUUCUUUGUCCCGUUUCCCGUCCUGGAAGGUUGAUGACGACUAGUCAAUGCUAUUCAAAGCUUCAAAUUCAGCUUCAUCAUCAAUUAGCCUGGAUGGGUCAACUUCAGGGGCGAAGGUAUGCUUACGAAUUGGGGGGAUCAGGCCUGUCGCUUUAUAAACGCGGCAUCGACAUCCUCUGAUUUCCCGCGUCAUAAGCCGGGUGGUACUUGAUGAGGUCUGUCUCAUCGGCAAUCAAGCUGGCCACAGGGCGUAUUUCCUUCACACAAGCAGCGGAGUCCUCCUGUUCAAAUGAAGUGCCAUCCUCCUUAAGGCUUGGAUACCCAAUGGCGAUGUCGGCUGGGUCUAAUUCCGGUAACCAUGCUUUGGCCCGGCUUAAGGCAGCCACGACUCCGGCUCUCGCAGAGGAUCGCUUUAAUUUGUUGAACAGCUGUGGCAGCACAGAAAGCUUCUUUAGCACAUCAACAAGGAGCGUGGGGACUUCAUUUGACAGGGCAACUGUGGAUAAGGCAUGCUGAGCUCCAGAGUAAAGUUGUUCUACGAGCGUGUAAAUCGCCUUCAGCUUCACCAGCAUGUCCUUGUUGAGGUUGGUGCUCCUGGGGCCUGCAUAGCAAUAAUAGAUGAGUUAACAACAGUUCAUAUAAUCACCAGAAAGAUUCAACACUUGACACUUGUAGGGCAGCUUACCAAAGAUCACCGAGACCAUCUGAGACACAUGGCGUUUUAAGCCGGACAAUUCAGUAGUCACCUCUUCAAGAGCCGCCUCUGCUUUUUCCGCUCGAUGGGUCAAGGCUAUAUUUUCUUUAGCCCAGGCCUUUUUCUCAACUUCAAACUCGGCCCUUUGUUUUUCUUGUUUAGACUCGCUGAAUUCAAAUUUGGAGUAUGCUCUCCGAGUCUCCGUCUCUUGCAGCUCCAAGCGGUUCUUCAAUUCAGACAAUUCUGUUGAAGUUGAGCAGUGGUGGUCUGUACAUGUACCGGAUCAAAAUCAUAAACAUUAGUAUGCAAUAUUAAGUCCCAAGCCUUUUGCAAGCAACAAAACUUGGCACUUGGGGGCUAAUGUCUACCGGAAGUUUUUUCUAAAUGGCGGCUUAUGAGAUUAAAGUCCCAAGCACUUUGCAAGCAAGAGUACUUGGCACUUGGGGACUAAUGCAUAUUGAUGUUAAAAGUUACACAAAUACUAUCUUCUACACAAGCAUAUGAAGGACCGGCUCAUUCAUGCUGAUUAAACCGGCCCUUGGGGACUACGGAUUAAGCCGGAUUUUUAAAGGUUUUACCAAAGCAUAUUACUGAUGUUCAUAAGUUUGUUCUAAGUCUACAUCAUAUUCAUCAUAAACAGUAGACUUGGGGGUUGGCAUAGUAACGCUACUAGGAAAAAACCUAUACACAGAAUCUUACCAGCAGCGCUCUCCAAAAUACCACGCUACUGCUAUUUAGCAGCAGCGCGUGUUAUCAAAACGCGCUGCUGACAGGAAAAUAGCAGUAGCGCGUCCACCGCAAACAGCGCUACUGCUAUAGUUGCCAUGACCUCGCCCCCCGCUAGUUAUAGCAGUAGCGCACUAUACUGAACAACGCUACUGCUAUAGAAGUUAGCAGCAGCGCGCUUCUAGGAAAACUGCUACUGCUAAGAUCAGCCCAUAAGUUUAGUCCCACCUUGCUCCGUGAACAGGGUGUUUACCACCUUAAAUAUGUUAUUUCUGAAACUACCACAACCAAUUGGUCUUCACUGAACUCUAUGUGUAAAAUUUGUGGCCGCAAUAUGAGUCCUCUCCGGUUCUUACUCUCGAUAUGUGCUCUUUUUGUUGUUGCAGGCUAGCCCUAGCUCUCUCAAUUUCUAGCUCACUCAGCUCUCACCUCCGACUCUCGAGGUAGAAGAAGACUAGAGGAGGGAGAUGGACACAGGAAAAUUUUCUUCGCGCACGUACGCCACCGCCGCUCGAACGGCGUCCUUUUCCUUGAGCUCAAACUCAAUACACCCGGCGGCUUUUAUAGCCGCGUGCACACACACUACACGCACGCACGAUGGAUCCGGCCACCAUAGCACGUACCGCUAUGACCGUUUCCUGCGCACGAACUAACACACGCCACAGCCGGCCACUAACAGCACAUACCCAUGCACUAACAAACCCAUGCAUGAGCUGACCCACAACGCGGCUGCUCCCAACAGCCUCAGACUCCGCUCAUCAACGAACGCGACUCGGCCAGCUUGCCGCUCGACGCCGUCGCCAAGAUUAGUGCUGACAAUUUCCUCCCUAAUCUUGACGCGACUCGCCCGUCGACCGUCGUCUUGAACGUGUUGCCAGCCGCCCUCGCACGUGACGAAGUCAGGCACACGCCCAACUUCCGCACCGUGCUGCGUCCCUUCUUGUCGUCCUCACGUCGCCAUGUACGCCACCGCAGUGUCUGCGUCACACGCCUCCGCUCGCUGCCGCUGCAGCAGCCCGCAGUACCGUGGGCCGCCACGCCGCGUCUCCGUGCCACGCACCUUCCACGGUUGUUGCGCCGAGCCGUCGCGACCUCUGCGUCACCACGCAGGUCCCUCGCGACCUUCUCGUCUCCGCGACCGCCGUGCCCUUCGCGCGCACUCGCCACGUCGCCGCGCUCCCAGCCCGCGCUCUCGCCGCGCACGUACGCAAUCUACGCAACCAGGUCCAGCGCCUCGACGCGGUCCACGCCCGCGGUCCCGACGCGCCUGACGCGUCCGGUGCGCACCCAUAACACGCACCGGUCGCGCCCGGCUCGCCGCCGUGCCUCAUUCGCCACGCUCCGCACGUCUCCAGCUCGCGCCAUGAUCGCACUCCGACGCGAUCAACGCGGCCGAACCGACGUGUCCAGGAGCUUGACCUUCUCUCGGCUGAGCCGCGCCGCGCCACCGCAGCCUCUGCGCCACCACGCAGGCCCGCCGCGGCCGCCGCGCUCCCCGCACGCACGGCAUCACCGUGCUCCGCCGCCGCACGGGACGAGCGCCAUCGCCGGCGAGCUCCUCCGAACCCGAUGCUCUGAUACCAAUUGUUGUUGCAGGCUAGCCCUAGCUCUCUCAAUCUCUAGCUCACUCAGCUCUCACCUCCGACUCUCGAGGAAGAAGAAGACUAGAGGAGGGAGAUGGACACAGGGACACAGGAAAAUUUUCUUGGCGCACGUACGCCACCGCUGCUCGAACGGCGUCCUUUUCCUUGAGCUCGAACUCAAUACACCCGGCGGCUUUUAUAGCCGCGUGCACACACACUACAUGCACGCACGAUGGAUCUGGCCACCAUAGCACGUACCGCUAUGACCGUUUCCUGCGCACGAACUAAUACACGCCACAGCCGGCCACUAACAGCACAUACCCAUGCACUAACAAACUCAUGCAUGAGCUGACCCACAACGCGGCUGCUCCCAACAGCCUCAGACUCCGCUCAUGCACGAACGCGACUCGGCCAGCUUGCCGCUCGACGCCGUCGCCAAGAUUAGUGCUAACACUUUUGGUGUAGAAAAAAUCUCUGCUAUAUCUUUCAUAUAAAUGACUUAAAUGCAAUACAGUAGAGUAACGGAAAAACCUUAAAUUGAUCCUCAAAUUGUGAACUGAAUAGCACCGUUGAUGUAACCUUUGUAGUACAUCUUAGAGCUGGUAGGCUCGCGGUGACAUACUCAUGGAUAAACAAUGAGGUGAAUCUGGGCACGGUUAUCCGUCCACGAGGCUCCUGUGCGCUCCAUGAUCAUCUAAUUUUGUGCUAAUGUACAAGAGCUGACUUUCCUAAAUCUAGCCCUAAUUAGACGUAUGCGCAGGAGUCCAACAAAAUGACAAUUGGCAAGCUGAUGAACAAAUACCUCAACUGUGGAACGUAGUGGAGUAGCAGUUGCAGGGAGCAGCCCCUCGCCUCGGCGGCUGCGUGUUCCUCGCCUUAAUGGAGGGGUGCGGUGGUGGCGGCGUCGUCCUCACAUCCCGAGUCAUUCGCGGGCUGAUCUGCAGAGACAUGACGGGAUAUAUGGCGAGAAGCGGAGGCGACAGGACGGGAGAUCAGGCUGAUGGCGGCGCAACCUAAGCAAGCCGGGGUGUUCGGGGAUCGUUCCAUCUGGAGCAAGAGUAAGGCGUAUGGCUGCGGCAUGGCGCGGAGCUUCCCUGCGUGUCGUGCUCCUAGACAGGGUAGGCGCGCUGCGGUCGCAGAUAGGGAGGGUGCCCGAGCAUCACGGUGCAAUGAAUAAAAACACUGAUUGUGGAGGAGAUCACGCAGACAAAAUUAAAGCCUCUAACUAGGGCUAGUUUUAGGAAAAUUGGAUGAAAGGAAGGGGCCAAAACAAAACAAAAAGGGAGCGGGGCAGCGUACAAUGGAACGGAGGGACAGGGCUGGACGAAAAUGUGGGAAGAAAUAUUGAUGUAAGAUGAGAGAGGUAGUAGAGAAGGAAGGAGAUGUAUUGAUUGAAAGAAGGAAGGAGAUGUAAACCAUGGUGAUAGUCAAAGAAGGAAGAAUAUUGAUCACGGUUUCAAUGAAAGAAGGAAGGAGAGAUUAAUCACCGUUUGUUUGAAAGAAGGAAGGUGAUUGAAUGAAUUGAUUGCCAUGCAUGAAUUGAUUGCGUUUGAAAUAAUUGUGUCUGGUUACCUUAUGUGAAAUGAUUGCGUUUGGCAUGAUUGCCUCUGGUUACCUUAUGUGAUUGAUUGCGUCUUGUUUGUCCGGCCAGAGGGAGAAAACCGUGAGGGAGAAAACCGGGACGGGGGAAAGAAAAUCGGCGGGUGAGUGGGUCGUACGAGAGGUGGGACUGGGACGGGGGAAAGAAAAUCGGGGGUUGAGGGGGUCGUACGGGAGGUUGGACGAAGCGGGGAACGUAAGACUAGCCACAAUGGGUAGUAACAUAGAAUAGUAACAUGCCAUGUUACUACUCUAUGAUACUACCUCUAUAGUGGGGAGUAACAUAUGCGUGAUAACAUGCAACACUUCAUUUAUUAGACCAUAGACUCAUUUUGCCUUGAUAUGUGUGAUGUUACUCAUACUAGUAGUAACUAGCUAUGUUACCACAUGCCUCUCUUUCUUCAUUUAUUGCUUGCCACAUCAUCCAUUUUAUCUAGAUAUGUGUGAUGUUACUAUCUAUGUUACUCCCAUUGUGGGUAGUCUAAGAGGGGAAACAGAACACUACGUUUCUCGUAGAUAGUAGAGAUUGAAAAUUUCGUUUCCUUUUGUUGAGAAUACCAUGGAUGUGAUUUCUUUCUAAAACUUCGCACAUGAGUAACAUGAUUGACGAGGUUCGAUGCCCCGUAUGUUCAGAUUAUUAUUAUUAUUUCCUAGUGUUUUUUCUUUUACUAUUAAGCACCCAAGAGCUCCUAAUCCGUGUCCAUACAUGUCUCAGUUAAUUUGCAUGGCAUGCAUGCAUGUGCGAAUUUGUGGUAAUUAAUUUGCAUGCACGAGGCUAGCAACCUAGCUAAUUUCUCCCGGCCAGACCGGCCAGGCCAUGCUUUCUCUUCUUCUUAGCACCAUCAUUGCUUACAAAUGCAGUGGCACACCCUACUGGGACUGGGGUGUGUGUUGGUGUUGGUUACUCUGUCCUUCUCCCGGACAUCAAGUCGAGCCAUCGGCACAGGCAAAAGGCAUGCCUGGCACCACGGAAUUGGCUAGUCCUAGCUAAUGGUCUUGCGGUGUCAUCAGAAUGAAUGGUCAAUACUACUAGUACUAUCAAUCAUGCUAUAACUUGGAACUUCGCACGAUGAGAGAUUGAUCCAUGGUACUAUUCAAUUAUGACAUCAAGAUAUUAUCGAGCAUCGCCAAAACCAAGAGCAAUCUCGCGAUCAUUUCAUUGCGAAACAAAUGCAUGUGUUCCUAUCUCAUCGACUUUCAGCCAAAUUACAAAACCCACAAGUUUUGGCAGAGCUGUCGUCCGGUGUUACUUAUGGUACAGGUAGUAAAACGACGCCUGAACGAAUGAUACACGCUCAACACAAGGUACUACCACGUUUCACAAAAAAAAGUACUCCCUCCGUAAAGAAACAUGAGAGGGUUUAGAGCUCUUAAGCAGUGAUCCAAAUGCUCUUAUAUUUCUUUACAGAGGAAGUAUUUCUUUGGUUCAAUUAGCUAGCUAGGGGACUGUCAAAAUUUAUUUACUAACAUGGUAGCCUCAUUGUCAAACCAUCUUCCAUCAGAGUCGUCAUCGAGUUCUAAUCAACAUUUUAAUGUACGUGGUUGAUGGAUCAGUUUCUGGAUCCUCGUCCAUUUCAACUAUCUAUAAGCAGAGCAGAAGGUCCUCUCAUGUGAAACGAGCAUGCGAGAAACAUAGUAGGGCGAUGCAUGGUGUACCACGCACUACUUUUCCAACAUCGAGUAUGUAUUCCGGUCGACUGAUUUAUUGCCCAAUCGGACAACAUUUUCCAUCAUCCCUUGUACUGCAACCACCUACUGAUCAGUGCUACCCUACUUUUCAUAACUCAUUUUGACUUGUUCCUUGAUCGACAGGUCACCAUCUUGUCAGGCCCGGUCCUGAGAUUUUGGGGGCCCGGGGCAAGUCAAAAAUCCAGGCCCCCAAAAAAAGGACAAUAAUAUAUAUAUAUAUAUAUAUAUAUAUAUAUAUAUAUAUAUAUAUAUAUAUAUAUAUAUAUAACCAAUAAACACUUAAGUGCAUCCAAUUUUGGUAUUUACAACUAAUAUUUUUUACAUAGGGUUUGUCUAGGGCACAUCUAAAUGUGCUAUAGUUAUUGCACAUCUAAGUGAGACAAUCAAGUAUAGAAAGGAAAAGAAAAAAGCAAAAGAAAAUUCCCACACAAAUCUCCGCAUAAGAUCAAUGAUAUAAGAUUUAGAUGUGCAAUACUUAUGGCACAUCUAGAUGUGCUUUAGCAAAACUGUUUUACAUAUUAUCCUAAGUUUCUUCUAAAAUCCUGCUGGCCAUCCACGUCCUAGUGGUAAGGCCAUGAUUUGCAUCAUUGCAUGGCAAGAAAUCACUCAUUCUUCUAUCGGGGAUAGACAUAUGCAUGAAGAGGAAAAAAAACUCCUAACGUUAGACAUCCAUUGAUCCCGGAAAACAUCGAAAAAACCCAGCUACGCAGCACCGAACAAGGUUAAAUGACAGUGAAUAGAUGAUGAGGGCAGUGUAAAUAAUAGGGAAAUAGUAAGAUGAUAUACCUCAGAACAAUCACAUCGGCUGAUAGGCGUUCAUGAUUACGCGCUCCACAACAACAUGAUGUGGACGGAGGCACUCGGCGAUGUACUCCCAGCGCCUGCAAAGUGGAUAACGGACGGGCUCGGCGCUGUCAAUCGCCAUGGCCUGACGAUGUGCGUGUGAGUCCUGCGUGGCCACGCCCAGCUACGACUCACACUCGCACGCCGCCGGCAGAUAGUACUCCUAUAUGAUGUUCGGGACCAAGUCGCCGGAGUAUUCUCUAGUAGCGGGAUCUGAAAUUCGGAGCCAAGAAAAAGGGAAUAGGGAGUGAAUUAGGGAUCCGAUCUCACGUCUGACGAGUUACAAUCGUAUUGAUUGUACGACGUGAUUGCGUGCGUACAAUAUGGGCCUAAUUUCGUUUCGGGAGAUGGAAAUAAUGAAUUACUGAUUGCGUCCUUGUCUAGUUUUGCCAGGCUUUUCUUUCAUUUUUUUGCGGUGAGCCUAGGUUUUCCUUUAUGGAGCCAAUUUCGUCCUAGGGAAGAUACGGGCCUAUGGGCCACCUGCGUACAGCAUGUCUGGGAGGGGGCCCCUAGAUGUUGGGGGCCCGGGGCGACCGCCCCCCCGGCCCCCCACCAGGGCCGGGCCUGCAUCUUGUCACAAGUUGCCGCUGCUCUGUGCUAAUGGUCAAUGAAAUUCCAGCAAAUGCUGGACUUUUCAAAAAAAAAAAUAGUGCUACACUAUGUGGCAGGGAGAAAAAAAGGUUGUCAAUGCAAUGUUGUGGGCAUGACUAAACCGUGCGGUUAGUAAAGACGACCCAUCCAUCCAUGAUUACCAUCUACUCUCUUCGUCACAUAAUACAAGAGUGUUUUUUAUGCUAGUGUAUUGUCAAAAACGCUCUUAUAUUAUGGGAGAGAGGGAAUACAAAGCUAGCUUUAUUGAGUAUUCUAAAACUUCAGAAAGUUCAAUAGGACAACCUAAUCGAUAGAUCAUUCAUAUGCAUAGUCUACUUCUACUUUAUAAUAAAAGAAGUAGCACUCCUCAAAUGCUCCCUAUACGUCCGAAUGGCCGACCCGGUGAUCAGUCACAAAAUCAUGACCCAACCGGACUUCUCAAACCAACCCUAUACAUUCGGACUGACCGGUAUCCCAUAUCUAGUCCAUAUCAGGGCAGAUAAGGGAAGGCCCGGACAUGCUCGGGUGCGCCCACCACGUCGGCUCCAACAGACAUGACCCACCACAAAUUUCAUCAAAUCCACCCCGACAAAGACGGAUUAGCCAUUUUUCUCUCCUAUCUUCUCUCUCGUCUGCGCUGGCCCUCCCCUAGCUAUGCUGCCACCCUAGCUUUGCUGCCGUUCCGACCCCUCAUCGUCGCCACCAUAGCCAAACAACUCCUCCCGACAGCCUCGCUGGCCCGAACACUGUUGCCGGCCCAGACAAUGAUGCGGUAUGUCCGUGUCUUCUCAGACUACACCGUGCGCUUAUGUGUUCGACAAUUUGUCCGAGCAAUUUUUUAUUGUUUUGUAGGCAAAAUGAUGAACUCAGAGGGUUCGUCGGAUGAGGAGUAUUAAGUGUUGGGGAACGUAGAAGAAAUUUAAAAUUUUCUAUGCAUCACCAAGAUCAAUCUAUGGAGAUUCUAGCAACAAGAGAGGGAGAGGAUGAGCAUCUUCAUACCCUUGAAGAUCGCUAAGCGGAAGCGUUACAAGAACACGGUUGAUGGAGUCGUACUCGCGGCGAUUCAAAUCACGGAAGAUCCGAUCUAGCGCCGAACGGACGGCACCUCCGCGUUCAACACACGUACAGCCCGGGGACGUAUCCUCCUUCUUGAUCCAGCAAGGGGAGAGGAGAAGUUGAGGGAGAACUCCGACAGCACGACGGCAUGGUGGUGGUGGAGCUCGUGGUAUUCCUGCAGGGCUUCGCCAAGCACUACGGAGUAGGAGGAAGAGUUGGAGGAGGGAGGGGCUACGCCAAAAGCAAGGAUGCUGCAGCCCUCCCAACCCCUCUCUAUUUAUAGGGUGAAGGGGAGAGGGGGCCGGCCCCUCUAGAGGGGGGGGGGGGGGCAGGAGUGGGAGACUUGCCCCCCAAGCAAGGUGGAGGCGCCCCCCUACCCUAGGGUUUCCAACCCUAGGCGCCUUGGGCCCUUGGGGAGGGGCGCACCAGCCCACUAGGGGCUGGUUCCCUCCCAUAUCUAGCCCAUUAAUCCCCCCCGGGGCAGGUGGCCCCACCCGGUGGACCUCCGGACACCUUUCGGUGGUCCCGGUACAAUACCGAUAACCCCUGAAACCAUUCCGGUGACUGAAACUGGACUUCCCAUAUAUAAAUCUUCACCUCCGGACCAUUCUGGAACUCCUCGUGACGUCCAGGAUCUCAUCCGGGACUCCGAACAACAUUCGGUAACCACAUACUAAUUCCCAUAACAACUCUAGCGUCACCGAACCUUAAGUGUGUAGACCCUACGGGUUCGGGAAUCAUGCAGACAUGACCGAGACAUCUCUCCGGCCAAUAACCAACAACGGGAUCCGGAUACCCAUGUUGGCUCCCACAUGUUCCACGAUGAUCUCAUCGGGUGAACCACGAUGUCGGGGAUUCAAUCAACCCCGUAUACAAUUCCCUUUGUCAAUCGGUAUGUUACUUGCCCGAGAUUCGAUCGUCGGUAUCCUAAUACCUCGUUCAAUCUCCUUACCGGCAAGUCACUUUACUCGUUCUAUAAUGCAUGAUCCCGUGACUAACUACUUAGUCACAUUGAGCUCAUUAUGAUGAUGCAUUACCGAGUGGGCCCAGGGAUACCUCUCCGUCAUAUGGAGUGACAAAUCCCAGUCUCGAUUCGUGCCAACCCAAUAGACACUUUCGGAGAUACCUGUAGUGCACCUUUAUAUCCACCCAGUUACGUUGUGACGUUUGGUACACCCAAAGCAUUCCUACGGUAUCCGGGAGUUGCACAAUCUCAUGGUCUAAGGAAAUGAUACUUGACAUUAGAAAAGCUCUUAGCAAACAAACUAUACGAUCUUGUGCUAUGCUUAGGAUUGGGUCUUGUCCAUCACAUCAUUCUCCUAAUGAUGUGAUCCCGUUAUCAAUGACAUCCAAUGUCCAUGGUCAGGAAACCAUAACCAUCUAUUGACCAACGAGCUAGUCAACUAGAGGCUCACUAGGGACAUGUUGUGGUCUAUGUAUUCACACAUGUAUUACAGUUUCGAAUUAAUACAAUUAUAGCAUAAACAAUAGACAAUUAUCAUGAACAAGGAAAUAUAAUAAUAACCAUUUUAUUAUUGCCUCUAGGGCAUAUUUCCAACAUUAAGGAGCUUGGUGAAUUGAUCAAAAGGAAUUCUUUGAUUCAUCGGAUUCGGAUGAUGAAGAUGCUGACAUGAUGACGAUGAGCAACCAGGGGGAAAUGGAGAGGAAGUUGGGGCACAUUCUAAACUUCAACGAUUCAAUCAAAGGGCGGAGAGUUUUCAACCGAGAUAGGAUCACUGGCGCACGGCUCCUCUACAAGGACUAGUUUCACCCUAUACGAACAUUUCCUGGAACAUUUUUUUGUUGAUGCUUCAUUAUGCGUGGACCCUUGUUCCAGCGCGUGGUUGAGGGAGUGCAGGAACAUGACCCCUACUUAAGGCUCAAGGAGGAUUGUUGAGGAAAAGUAUCGUGUUCUCCUUUGCAGAAAUGUACGGUUGCACUGAGGAUGCUUGCAUUGGGUACCGCUGUCGAUGUCAUGGUGAGAUGGUCCUGAUGGGGGAGAGCACAUGCCUUGACAUCAUUGUGAGAUUUCCCCGUGCCAUGGUGAAGAUGUUGGGAGUGGAGUGUCUUAGAGAACCAACUGUGCAAGAUAUAGAAUGGUUGAUGUCUAUUGGAGCGGCAAGAGGUUUUCCAAGUAUGCUCGGUUCAAUUGAUUGCAUGCAUUGGUAAUGGAAUAAGUACCCCCAAAGUUUGUGUGGGACGUACCAAGGUCAAACCAAAUAGGCCACAAUGAUAUCGGAAGAAGUGAUAUUAAGGUUGUUCUGGAUUUGUCAUGCUUUCUUUGACUUGUCUGGUUUUCACAACGACAUCAAUGUGUGCUCCAACGGUCUCCAUUGUUUCAGAUACUUUGUGAUGGGGAAGCGCCGCCAUGCAACUACACCAUCAAUGAGCACAACCACAACAUGGGGUACUACAUUGCUGAUGGUAUUAUCCUCGGUGGCGGCAUUUGUGAAGACCAUAUCUGUUCCACGUGGCAACAAACAAAGCCGCCUUGCAAAAAUGUAAGAAGAAGCUAGGAAGGAUAAGGAGAGGGCAUUUGGAGUGCUCAAAGCACAUCGGGGUAUAGUUGGUGGAGCUACAAUGAUGUGAGAAUCAGAGACUUUGUGAAAGCUGAUGACAUGUUGUGCCAUUUUGCAUAAUAUAAUUGUUGAGGUCGGUGGUGAAGGUGUAGCCCGAACCCAUGAUUUUCGGAAUGCAAUUCCACAUCCUAGAACAAAAUGCAGAACAUAUUCUGAAUUUUCUAGAGAUGCAUCGAAACCUUCGAGAUCAACAGGUGCACAUGAACUACUCAAUUAUCUUGUGGAGCAUAUGUGGAUCCACAAUGAAAACCAAUGAGUUUAAUGUUUGAAUUGUGAACUUCAAAUAAAUUUUAUGUUCGCACUAUGUAUUUUCAAUACGAACAUUUGUUAUUUACGUGUAAUAUUCAUCGUGUAUGAUCGACUUGCACGGAGUGUGACAGCCAAAAAGUACAUUUGAGGGUGGUCUGAUGCUGUCUAAGGUCGUGUCCGGCACAUCUGUGGAUGUUUAAAUGACCGGAUUUGUCAAGUUCAACUGUAAAUGCUCUGAGAAGACAAUGAAAUGCUCUAUCACUAGGAAACGACACACCCAAUUUUUUGACCUAAUUAAACUAAGUAGGUGCCUCUAUGGAGUUUGGAUACAUGCUACUCCCUUCGUCCCAUAAUGCAUUAGAGUCAAAAAACGUCUUACAUAAUGGGACAGAGGGAGUACUAAUUAAUCUCAUCUAUAGAAUGCAACCUGCAUUGCACACACAAAGAUUGGUACAAUGCUACUUUUAGGAUGAUAAUAUUACUUUAUGGAUAAGACAAGGGAAUAUGAAUGAAUAUCUAGCGAGUACUGUCAAGCUGCAGCAAAGUUUGGAGAUGGAAUACAGUAGUACAAGAAGGCUUUAUUUAUUCUUGUUAGCUUGAUCGAGCAGCUUUAUUCUGCACGCUGCACGCAUUGAAAAGAGAAAAGAAGUGUCCAUUUACACAUCCGCACAAAAGUAAGAAUGGAAUAUGCACACCGGACCACCGUGUAUGGUAUGUAGUGGAACGAUGAAAGAAAAAGUCGUAUCUGCUGCUUUGUUCUCUCCUUUCCAACUGAAUUCUUUAAUUAUUGACGAGGAGCCUUCUCAAUGUUAAGAGUACAUAUUCAGCGCAACCUUCCUUUUUCUUAUUCUCCGAUCACACCAACAGAAAGUCAUCGACCAGUCACUUCGUGUCCCCGCUGUUGCACCACCGCUGCGCCACUUCGCAUCGCCGCCAUUGCACAGACUAGUCCGUCGACCAGGCAAGCCGCAUGAUAGGAGCACUCUACGUAUGGCAGAGGCAAUGAUGCAAGAAGGUAGUCCUGCCACCGCCUUCCCCUAGUGGCAACGAGGGGGACGGGAGGAGGCGGUUGCUGCUAGGGUUUGCUCGAACCGCCCUAGCAUCCAAGUUCCAUUGUGUAUGCCACACCCGUUCGGGGCACCAACGGAGCGCUCCCGCACGAGGAAGACAACCACACAAGAAGGUAGCCCCACCAUCGUCAUUCUCUGGUGGAAGUGGGGGAGGUUGGCACGAAAAGGAGGCGGCAACGGCUAGGGUUGGGUUGAGCCGUCCCGGCGUCGAAGCUCCCACAAGAGAGACACAACCGAGUGAGAAGGUAGCUCCUCCGCUGCCGUCCUUCGGCCACAGCUGAAGGGAUACGAAAAGGAGGCGACGAUAUCUAAGGUUUACUAGAGCCACACCCCCUCCGACCCCCCAAAGCGACGCAUGCACUAUAUUUGGAACCACCUAAAUCAAGUGAUUCCUGGACAGAAAAAGAUAACCCCAAGGUUAAUGCAAACUAGUUCAAAGGUCCUCUCCCUCUAGGUUUAUAUUUCGGGUGUAUGUUCCUGGGUCAUUAAUUUUACCAAUGAACUUCAAGUUGUAUGUCAUGAAAAAUACAUCAUUAGAAACUUCAUUCGAAUACAAAUUCACGGGUAUAGAUUUUGGUAAAUUAUAAUUUGAUGUUCAAUGGUUAAAGUGACGACACAUAGAUAUGAGGAGGCACCGUAAAAUGGGGAAAAGAGGUCGUAACCUUUUUUUCAAAUGAAAAGGGGUUGUAAUCUCGGGACCCCCCAAAACACAUGCUUAUUAGAAAGCCUGCAAGAAUAUAAAAAUUUGUGAGUGGUAUUUUAAAAGAAAGAAAAAAAGGCCGCGGGAUAAAAAUGAGGCACAUCCAACGUAUUUCUUUGCUCGUGGGACUCAUGGGGUACAUCGUGCGAAGCGGGCCUCCCCGCAGCUCCGCACAAAAGUUGCAUCAUACGUUCCUUCAUUUGAUCCGAACCCGGGGAUACUUCGUCACUACCAACCUCCCAAACGGAAAAUAAUUCUAUAAGAUCAGGUCUCACGGAUUAGCAGGUGAGACUCAUCUUGACGGACGACACGUGGCAUUCACAAAUCACAAAUCAUCUACCCCAUCCCCACCUGAAAUCAGGGGGAGAGAGGUUAGAUACUUUGUGAUUUGUGAAUGCCACGUGUUAUCCAUCAGCGCGGGUCUCACCUACUAACCGUGAGACCUGGUCUCAUAUAAUUUUUUCCCCUCCCAAACGGCCAUGAGCUUGGGGUUGCAUCCACGUAAGAACUAAAAAGGGGAAGCUGGAGGAUGAAUAAUUUCUGGUCAUGUCAUGCCUCGUCAAACGCGAAGUUGGAGGAUGAAUAAUUUCUGGUCACCACGUGCAUUGAUGUAGCGAAAUCAGUACAGUAAACAUAAAAUUACUUCCCCUGCUAUGAAAGCUCGGGAGCUGCAUCAAAACUAAGGGCAUGUACAAUGGUUCUAUCUUAGCAAUGCCACGUAGGGUAAAUGAUGAGGUGGAGAAGAGAGAAAUUAUAAGAUAAGACUUGUUUUAUCUUAAUUAAGAGAAGGCAAGAGAUGAUCUCUUAGCACAAUAUGUCUCACCAUGUUUUUAGAAAUAACUAGUUAUUGAAGAUAAGGCUAAGAGAUAACCCAUUGUAGACAUGCUUUUUUGUCAUCUCUAAACUACAUGCAAGAUUUAAGAUAAGACCGCCUUAUCAACCAUUAUACAUGCCCUAACCACCCUAUCACAUUGACCAGGCACAACAUCGAAAAUCUAGCCGGCAUUCAUGGUUUCCCUUUAUUGCUUAUUAGCACCGGGGUGAAAUAGAUUCAUAAGUUAACCGUAUUUUGAAUUAACUAUGCAUGUAAAUGUCCACUUGGUGUCCAGUGUUUGACCAAAUGCAAUUGCAAGUUCGUCUCGGCGGCUCUAAGGCUAGUCAUAGUGGGGAGUAACUUAGACUAGUAACAUGCAUAUGUUACUAGUCUAUGUUACUACUAUCUUCGUCCGGGCUUAUUGGUUCCCAUUGUAUUUCGUGUCAAAUUUUGACCAUAGAUAAACUAACAAAAUGUUCACGCAUGUCACCAAACAUUAUAUUUUUGAAAACUAUGUUUAAAUACGAAUCCAAUGAGAUAACUUUUCUUGACAUGCAUUAACAUUUUGUUAGUUAACUCUUUAGUUAAAAUUUGGCACAAACUACAAAGGGGACCUAUAAACCAGGACGGAGGUAGUACCUUCAUAGUGGAUAGUAACAUAUGGAUGAUAACAUGCAAGCCUUCAUUAAUUGAGAUAUAGACUCAUUUUACCUCGGGGUGUGUUAUGUUACAGUAACAUAUUAUGUUACCACAAGCAUCUCUUUCCUCAUUAACUCCAUGCCACAUAAGCAUUUUUUUUCUUGGAAUGUGCUAUGUUACUACCUAAGUUACUCCCACUGUGGCGAGCCUAAGUCUACGGCCUUGCCUCUUUCGGGCUCGGAGGCUUCACUUGACCCUUUCAAGCCGCUUGCCGCAUUCAGGCUCGCGGGCUCCACUUCGCCUCGACGUCUCCAAGGCUCCAGCCUCGCCUCUUUCGGAUUCAGGGGCUUCACUUCGCCCCAUCAGGCACCUGAUCAUGGCAUCUACGCUUGGGGGCUCCACUUCGCCGCGGCGGCUCCAAGGCUCCGGACUCGCCGCUUCCAGUCUUGGGGCUUCACUUCGCCCCAUCGGGCUCCUCACCAUGUCCAGGCUCAGGGGCUCCACUUCGCCUCAGCAGCCUCCUUGCUGCAUUAGGUCCUAGGGGCUUCUCCUCGCCACGUUGGCCGGCUUCAAGCCCUCGCCUCACCACGACCAGCUUUAUGUUGAUGCCAGUAUUACAAGACCCACCAUCCAAGUCCAAGAGUCGGCCGGAGGCAUGGGGGCUACUCCCACCCGGGUGCAUUGUCGUUGAGGAUGGUCAGCUUUGCAGGACUCAGUCUAGUGGCGUCUAUGAUGUGUUGCGAUUACUAUGUCUCCUGUAGGCACUGGGUUAAACCUGAUGUAUACAAUAAUAUUAAUGAAUCGACUAGAACAAGUAAGACAUUAGUUCACAGUAAAAUGAAGUGCUAACAUGGAUGACAAACUUCUUCUAAACCCCAUACAAUAUCUUUUUUUUUCUUUGGUCAUUACAUACACUAGAACAAACGCAUCAAGAUAUUAGUUAGACUUUAAACAUUAGAAAUCAUAUUAAGACCUUUAAUAAAAUAAGAGCGUCCCAAUGUAUACUGUAUUAUUUAUGCAAUUCAUAGAUUAAUCCUCAGAGACAAGCAGUUUUUUAUACAUAUUUUUCUCAUAUUUGCACAACAUACAGUUUAAAUUUGGCUACACAAAAAUUUAUAUCUCAAUUAUACGAGUUAGAGCCCUCUAACGAAGAACACCAUAAGUUCAUGAAAAUAUUGUUAUGAACAAUUAUGCUAACCAAAUUAUUAAAUAAAUAUAAUACUUGGAAUAAUUAAUUAAUAAAUAUAUUUUAAAAAUACAAAAGUUUAGUACACAUUUUAUUAGAUUUAAAGUCGGCAAGACUUGUGCACCUUAAUUGUUAUUUAACUUCUAAAUUUUUUUGGUUGCAGUUGCAGAUAAUACUUUUAAAUGUGUUAGUGGAAGAGACGCCGAAUAUGAAACAUGUCUCGCACUUAUGAUAAGUUGUCGAGUCCAUCGGCUGUCUCAGCGUCAUUCAUAAAAUGUUCAUGAAAACUUUAAACUAUGUUUAUGUAAAUCAUAAAAAAUGUUUGUACCAAUCAAAACAGUUCUCAUGCAACUAAAAAUGUUCAUGUAUUUAAACUAUAAUUUGCAACACUUUAAGAAAAUGUAAAAAAGAUCUAAAAUUCGGUUCAAUAAUUUUAUGGAAAAUUUCACAACAUAAAAAAAUAUUAUUAAUGUUUUAAGUAUUUUUUCUAACACUUGCGAGAUGUUUGCACAUUUUCAAAAAAUAUGCAUGGCAUUUUUUAAUAUGUUCAAUGUGUGUUUAGAAAUGUUUGUUGUGUAUAUAAAAAUCUUCAUUGUGCAUUUUAUAAAUGUUCAACAUAUGUUUAGAUAAGUAUUUAACAUAUUCAAGCAAAAAAUGAGGUAGUAUCUUAAAGAUAUUGAUUUAUAUACGAAACAAUUCAGCAUGUGCUAAAAAAGUUGAAAAGUACUUCGAAGAAAAUAAAAAUAAACAGAAAAUUAAGGAAAUCUGAUACAGAAAAAAUUUGAAGAUUUUUUUAAAUCACAUAGAACCUUCCAAAAACCGGGCGGAAGCUUCCAGGAACGGGUCCUCGGAAAAUUCACAAAAACCACUCGAUACCAUUUAUUGUGCUAGUCUACUUUAAACGAUCUCUGUAGGCAAGGGCGAUUUUCACCUCACAGUAUGUGAUGCAUAACAUAGGCCAAAGAAAAAGAUCAAACCAAAACAAAAUAUGGCAUUACGAAAAUUUCUGGAUUUAAAAAAUAUGUUGCAUGGCAUUAAAAAAAAUCUUAAAUAACAAAUGGAAUUCAUUGAUAUUUUCACGGGCAUCUUUCAGUGUGUUGUCUAUCUUCCUCUUUGGUUUCAUGGAGAUUCUCAUGGGCACCUCCAAACUUUAAGGAAUCUCCAAAGGGGACCUCUAAAACGAGCACAACAUCCAUCCACGGACAGUGAUACGGGAGCAGGCAUCCAACCGUGUCCCUCAAACGUCCGAACAUAUUUUAAAGAAUUUGAACGAACCGAGUGAGUUUCAUGCAAACCACAUGAUUUUCAUUUAAAUCGGACCACAUUCAUGACUUCUUGACAUAUUUCAUUAAACAAAGGCGAACAUUAAAGAUGUCCUAACCAAGGGGCCUCUAAUCAUAAUGACUCUCAGCCUGGUGGGCCCGGCUGAGGAGCCCUUUGCUUGUUUCGUCCAAGGCAAAUAACAAGAAGAUUUCAAAAGUCUUGGCGUGCAAGGCAAGAAACUGGGAUCGUGGAGGAUUCUGCCUCCUCGUACAUAGCCGAUUAGGAUCCGUAUACCCUAGGCCCCCCGGUGUGCUACAUAAGCCGGGGGUGAGGCUCCUAGAUAAACACGAUGAACAGCUGCAAGAAGACUAAGAAUGCUGAUAGAGUUCAUCAAAAGCAAAUUUACACAUCUCUUCAACAAUUAAAAAGAAUUAUUAAUGUAAUAUCUCAGGAUUAUGCAUGUAUAUAUUUGUUGAAAAUUAUGCUGAUGGAUUCAGUCUAUUUUACAUUUCAUGUGUGGGUGCUACAGAUAGAAGAAUAAAGUGUUGGGUAGGUAUUUACAUGAUCCCUCAAUGUUUUGCAAACUGAUAGAGGCGAAUACAAAAAUAAACCAGUCAUAAAAGCAAGAGUGGAAUAAUGCACACCGCACGUAUUGCAACUCCGCCGUCUGCCGAGAUCUGUGAGGACGCGCGCAACAUCAUGGCGCUGCGUUGGAAAGCAUCGCCGCCGCCGACGAGAUCCACUGGUUGAGGUACGCCUCUUCGGCAGCACCGGCGGCAUUGCAUCUAACAUGCUCGCAACGGCAACACCGGCCGCGCUGGAGCACCGGAGCUGGCACAUCGGACCUCAGUGUUGUGCAUCUCUCCUUUAUUUGCAGCAAUGACGGAGAUCCCCCAUGGAUUGCAGUUUGGAGGGGGAGCAGCACGCAUGGACCAGAGGAGGGGCAUAGGGCUAGCGACGGGGCCGUUGGAGAAGAAGAUGAAAUGGAGGACGGGUGUUGGAGAGAGAGAGAGAGAGCGCGCGGAGGUGAUUGCAUCAGGGGAGGGAGACGAACAGAGGACGAGCGGCUUCUGGAGAUAAGAGAAGGGAUGCGGUGCGUGGGGCCAGACACGUGUCGUACAUCGUGUGCGGUUUAAUCAGCGAUGAAAUCAUCUAGUUGAAAAAUAACAUUUUCCAUUAUUUAAUUAUUGACGAGGAGGCUUCUCAAUGUUCAGAGCAUAAAUCAUUCAAACCUUUUUAUAUUCUCCGAUCAAACAAACUCAUCGAUCAGUCACUUCGUGUCCCUGCUGCUGCACAACUAACCGCUGCACAAGUUCGCAUCGCCGCCGUUGUACAGACUAGGCCGUUGACCAGGAAAGCCGCCGCCAAUACGCGGCGAUUAGAUCGGGUGCUGCAGAGUCAACUCCGCGUCAAACAGCCAACCGGUCGAUGCCAUGCAGCAUUGCCACCCGUAGAGCGGUAUCCGCAUGGGAGAGGCAAAGGACGUGAGAUGGUAGUCCUGCCAACUUUGUCCUCUAGCAGCAACGUAGGGGGAGGGGAGGAGGCGCCUGCUGCUAGGGUUUGCUCGAACCGCCCUAGCAUUUGUUAGAGUUGGGUCGAAUAUUGUGUACAAAUUAGGUUAUAGUUGGACUCUGAGUAGUAUUGUGUUCACAUAGGAUAUGGAGUCGUGUCCUAGUAGGACACUUGUAUCCUAGGCCUCUCGUAUAUAGCGGGGCUAGACACACGAUGUAACCUAUGCCAACAUAAUAGCACGGGAACGCAGGGGAAGCAGGCGGCAUGUGCCGGCGUUCAGGGCGACCCGAUGCGGUAUUGUAUCGGUGUCAUGGGAGGGAGCGCCUAUAGUCAGGCCCCGGGGAUGUACCCAUAUCUGUGAACCUCGUUAACAAAUCUCGGUGUCGUGCUCAUGUGAUUGCUUUGUCCUCGGAUGAUCGACGGUAUACCUCGGAUUUAUUCUAACAAGUGGUAUCAGAGCUAGGUCAUUUGGAGGCUAUGAAUUGUUGAUCUAGAGGAAGGAAGCAUCGACAAAUAUCUGCAGGAAGAGAUCGUGAUGCGGGAGCGAAUAUCGUCGGCGAGUUAUGAUCCAGAAGCAGAGUUGGUCGUGUUUUGGUCUUCAAGCAGCAAUCGGACGCGAGCAGGUUGGCGGCGCGUUGCAGAUCGAUCUGGAAGCUGGCGGGGGCGAAAGCUGCUAGGGUUGCAUGACAUACGAGGCGUACGGUCGCGAGGCGAGACGGCGGUUGAUCCACCUGAUCGAUCGGGCGAGCGUCACUCGGUGUGUGCAUGUGUGUUGCGAUCCCGGGCGCCUGGCGGCCCAUGGCAAGGCCCAUCCGAGGGCGCCAGGCUGAUAGCCACUACAAGAAAUAUGUCAACUUGUGACUACCACUAUUGGUCACUGAAUGAUCACUGUUUUCAAUUUGUGACCUUUUUGUGACAAAAAACAUAAGGUCAAAAGCUGUCCGUCGUUAACUGACUAUAGCGACCUUUCUUCUGGAAUGGUCGUAGACGUUUAUGACCAAAAUAUGUUCGUUGUGGCAUUUUGGUCACUAGCAACCUCCCCAGGCCACGUAGGCAUCCAGCGUGGCAACCUGAUGUGGCACAAGAUUCAGCCCGGUCCAAUUCGGUUUUCUACAUGGGCCUAGCCCAACAAUUCGGCCUUUUUACUGUAUAUUUUUCUGUUAAUUUUCUCUAGCUGGAUGGGCCUGGCCCAACAAUUUGGCCUUUUAUUUUCUAGGGCAUGGCCUUUUGCAAAUCAUUUCAAUAAGCCUAUUUUUCUGGUUUUUAGAAAUGCACAAUAUUUUGAUCCGCUAUAGUUUGGGCCGCAACCUUUUUAGAGCCCAUUUGGUCUAUUUCAUUCACAGAUUUAAAUUGACACACUUGAACAGCAAAAAAUCAAUAAAUAUCUCAAUUAACUGAUUAAAUCCAGAAAUCAUCCAACCAAAUACUCACAAGAGAACAUACACGUCUACAGGUCCAACAAAUGCACAUACAAUCAAAAACAGAGAUACACCAGCACUACUGAUGUUGUUCAUCUUCAAGCAACUUAAACAAGUGCACAUAAAAUUAAACAGGUACAUCAGCAGAGAUAUGUCAACGAAAACUGUGGCACGCAUCUCCAAGCUUCUCCAUCUUCUGUCAUAGCAGCAGCAUCCCCGACGACAUUAGAUCCUGAUCUAGAUAAACAAUUAGUGAAAUACAGUAGAAGGAAAUAAUAAUCUUUCAAGAGACCAAAUGCCCCAUUUCAGUAAACACUAAGCAUGGCAUAACAAAACUUCCAACAACUUGAAUGCAACAGAUUAACCUGAUGUUGUUCUACAAUAGUAAUCUAUACAUACCUGCAUGGUACAUUGGUACAAAUUUAGGUAAUGAAAUGAACAUCACUAUAACACUCACCAAAAGAAAAUUCCUAUUCUACUACCACGACCAUCCAUUCAACUAACAAUACUAGUAAGUGCACAGAGACUAACAUCAUAAGGCAGCAGACAAUUAUGAAAAUUUUGGUAAGUUGGACAAAUUGUUUAAUCAGUUUUGGUAUACUUAGGUUCUGAGCCAAAAUAGACCAAGCAAAAAAAGUAGUAACUAGUGAUGCAUGAGCAUGUAUAUGGUACAAAAUUGAGCAUAUUAACUUUAAUAUUAAUUUGGGUCUUCCAACUUUACUGCUCAUACAUACAUAUACAGAAUUGAGCAUGAAUCAUCGGUCUUAGUUGUAUAUGAGAGUAGUUGGGUUCUGUAUUCUAAGCUCCAAGUAGGUUACAGAAGAAACUGAAGAUGAACCAUAUAUAAGAGACUAAAAAAUCAAAUAGAAACCCAAAAAUUAAAUACGAGUAUAACUGGAAGGAUUACAACAGGUUCAAUUCAAUCAAUUUCCAAAGCAUUGAAUCAGUAGCAUAAGCAUGCAACACCAACAUAAGCAUUUAAUCAACAGCAGCGUGAGCAUAAGCAUUAAAUCAGCAGCAGCAACACAAGCAGCACCACCACCAGCACAAGUGCACACCUAUUCAAGCUAGUAGCAGCCUAGCAGGCUAGCAGCAGAAGCAUUCAAACAACUAAAGAAGCACAGUACAGCAGGAAAAGCAUUGAAAGAGCAGUAGGCUUGGAGUGUCAGAUGUCAUAUCUUAUAAACUUAGGCAAGUGUUCUCAGGUUAUUCUUUACAUCAUGCACUAACUUGGGUAAUUAACAUCAAACAAUACAUACCAGUACAAGGCUAGGCAAGAUAAUAAAGACUUGGGAAAAGAUACCAGAGUUAGAAAAAAUGAUAUGUGCCCUUAAAGAGAGGGCAGUGUCAAGUGCGGCCACAGACAUAGGCAUUAGCUGCACCCACGACCCCUAGACACUCUCACAACCGAAGAGGAGGUGCCUUGCAUACGGUCUCCUUCGAGUCUGCGAGAGAAAGAAUGAGGUGAAGGUUAGUACACAUCAAGGAUGCUACUAUUCUGGGUCAAGCUAAGUCGAGGGCAUAAGAGAUUUUAGUCAACAAAAAUUAACAUGUGAACAUCUUGCACAAACUAUCAUCAUUUAUAAAAAAAUACAAAACAAAUAUGCAAACAACUGUAGCUCAUACUUAUAUUAUAUCAGGCAAUAUCAUUUAGCAUAUUCCAAUAUGUACUCAACAUGUUCCAAUAAGACAGAAAUGCACACACAUGGAUUCGCAAUUAGACUAUGCCUCUCUCUCACUCAUUUGCAAGAAACGUUCUCUUCCCUCUCUCUACUGAUGACCAUCAACACAAUUCUGUAGAGUUGUAAACAGAUUUUUGAGAGAAUAGACAGUCAAUUUGUGUGCUAAUUGGACCUAGUUUUAAAGAAACAAAAAGGAUUGGCAGCAUAGGGAGAGGGAGAUGGAGAUGGAUGUGCUACCUGCUGUUGCGGUGGUGCGUCGUGGUGGCCUGCUUGAGCUCCUCCUCCUAAUGCUGCUCACUAACCUGCAGGACAAACAAGGCCAUAGGUGAGCCGCAGCAAAGGCAUUUCUUGAUGAUUUACGGAGUUCAUGGCCACCUACAGAAAUAUUAGAGGGACAUGAUAAGGAGCUGUAAAAUACAAAGAGCCGCCUAGACUUAUACUGAAUAGUAAUGCAUAUAUUCAGGAAUAUGAAGUUCACCAAUUGUUCCAAAAAAAAGGAAAAAAUACUUGUUGAUGUUUCAAGUACAGCAGAAUAUAUGCAAGUCCCAAGCAUCCAGAUGACUAUUGUAGUCGAUUGAUAGCAGUAAAUUUAUCAACACCAAACACUGCUUGACAAUUGAGGUAAUUAAACAUUAAAGAACUUAUUACAUAUGCUUUUCGUCAUCCAACGUGAUAACAUGUUAUUGCUAUGCUAUGUGAUUAAAAGAGUAAGAUUUCAUCAAGCCUAUGUCAUGCAUAACAGGAACAUAUUAUAAAAUACAGAAUAGUAGUUCAGUGCCUUCAAGUGUUGAAUGACUCAUGGUACAGUAAUAAUCACAAUAAACUGUUAGUACAUGUGUGUCUAGUUGCAAGGUGUCUAUAAUUAGACACAUCAUCAUCACAGUAGGAGUAAUAUAGUGUAGACACAUACCAUGAGAGGAUUGUUCCUUCCAUUAUGACAACAACAUUGCUGCUGCUGCUGAUAGACACCUCGUUGUUGCUGCCGUUGUGUCCGCGAGCAUCAGGCACCUUGCAACAUUAUGACAACAACAUUGGCUUGGACUUGUCAAAUAUACAGAGGGAAAGGGACCUUCUCCAGGGUUGAGUCCAUGGGCAUCAGGCAAUGGAAUGGAAGUAGAUGAAAUCGAGAGGGGGGUCGAACCUUGCUGCUGCUGCCGUUGUGCCCUUGACGCUGGAGCUGGCUCCAUGGACAGCUGCUGGAGCUGGAGUAUGGGGGUGACCUUGUUGAAAGAAAUAUUCUCCUCCUGCACAAGUUGACAACAGCAACAACUUGAGAAACCAAGAUUGAAGAUUGAACACCAACUUGAAAGCAAGACCAAUUUUCUAUCUGGAUCAACAAGUGGUAAUCGGGAGCCUUGCUCCAGGAGGAAAUUAAAGAGAAGGGAGUAGAGGAGGUAGCCCUGCCUGCGUCUGCCUUGGAGGAAGAAUCACAAUGAGGAAGUUGCUCUCCUUGAGCUUGCUUGAUGGGGAUGAGGGUUUGCAAGGGCCUCGUCAGCGAGACAUCUCCUCGUCGCUGAGCCGCAUCAGAUCCGCAUGGAGGAAGGCGGCAUCGACCAUGGAGGAGCCGUCACCGGAGCCCGCGAGGUCGAUGGGCUGCCCGACGAAGACCCGCCGACGUCGAGUGAGGUUCGUUUCCCCCGCCAGCGCCGUUCAAAGACACCAUCGCCGGAGUGGUGGUGUGGAUCUGACCUCUCGGACGCCAUCGCCUAUAGGUUGGAGGCAAGGCUAGGGGAGUGUAGGAAGAGGCGCGGUAGCGACGGGAUCCUCCCGGACAAGGGAGAUAUGGUGGUGCGGCGGUAGCAAAGGGGAGCAUAGCGACCGGUGGGUGCGGCGGUGGCGGGUGGGGGAGUCGCAGGAGAGGAGGAGAAGAGACAGAGUGAGUGAGAAUGGGCUUGGGGAGGGAGGUGGCAGCGGCGAUCUGUAAGGGAAGGAAGCGACGAGUGGAUGGGGAGGGAGGUGGCGGCGGCGAUCUUCAUGGACAGGAACUGCAUGCGUGCGGCCAUGCCCAUGCGUGCGGCGAGCGCGGGGCGCAGGGCGGCGAAGCGAGAGGCAAGGUUGGAGAGGUAGUGCUGGAGGAAGGAGGAGGCGGCGGUGAGGGCGGGUGGGAGGCGGGGAGGGGGAGGGGAAGAACGUGCGGCGACGGCGUUGACCUGAAUCGGGGGAGAGGAUGAGAGGGGAUCGAUGGGAGUUAGGGUUUGGGGUUGUUGGGCUGUGGGUGGGGUUCUUUUCUCCUUUUUUUCUUGUAGAUGAAUGGGAUGGAUGGAUGGAUGUGGGAUGGAGAGAUGGAUGGAUGGAUGGGCGCCAUGUCAUCGAUCUGUGGGAAUGCUUCUGACUGGUUCGGAAAACCAAUGAUUUAAAAGAGUUUCCAAGUACUAAAACUAGAGGGAUUUUGUGAAGUAGCUAUCAAAAAUACUUUUCAAAAGGGUACCACAUAAAUUUUCACUAGAGUUAGACCACAUUUUAUGGAUAGGACCAAUUUGUAGGCAUUUAUGAUCUUUCUAGCUAUUUUUAAUCAUUUUUGGAGUGCCAAUAAUCGGUUUUUUUUUGUGAAUGACCUAGAAAAUAGUUGUUGCCAAAUUGGACCAAAUACAUCUUCUAAAAUACCAGGCCAUAUAUAAUGCACAAUUGACAAAAUGGUUGGUUGUCAAGUGUUUUUAUGCACCUCUAGUGAAAAAGACAAAUUUCGGCUUAUUCAGUUGGAAGCGGGUCAAAUUUGAACUGCAGCUGCCUCUUAUUUUGCUCUUUAUUUUUUCUAAAAAUCAUUUCUAGGUACAUAAGUAUCUAUUUAAUCAGAGAAACAUCAAAAGUUUUCCAAGAUUCAACCACUAGCUAGGAACGAUCAAGCCCGCCGUUUUAACCGCAUUUUGAAACGGGCAUAAAAAAUUCAAAAAAAAAUCAAAAAAUUAGAAAACCUUCGCAUUAUGUCAUUAUAUAUGACCAAGUUUCCAGGAAAAAUAAUAAACUUGUAAUACGGAAAUUAUUUUAAAAAAGUGUUCUCAAAAAUGCGCUAUCAUGCGUGAAGAUUCAUGGCUUUCAAGCCAAAUGAUCAAUCUUAUGGCCACAUUCAUGGAAUAGUUUGUUCAAAUGAUCUCAUAUUGUGCACAAGGGUGCAUCUUAGAAUUCCAAACAAUGUUGCUUUGGGGAGUUUUCACUUUCAAUGCACAAAAGAGCCAUUUUCCAUUUUUCGAGUGCCCCAAAUGAGGUUUUUUUAAGAACCUACCAAAUAAUUAUUGCAAAAUUGGACAAAAUCAAUUUUAUAAAAUACUAGGCCAUAUUUAAUGCACAAUUGAUCAAAUGGUUGGUGUAAAAAGUUUUGAACCACCUCUGGUGAAAAAGACAAAUUUUCGCUGAUUCAGUUGGAAGCGGGUCAAAUUUGAACUGCAGGUGCCUCAUAGUUUGCUCUUUAUUUUUCCAAAAAUCAUUUCUAGGUACAUAAGUAUCUCUUUACUCAGAGAAACAUCAAAAGUUUUCCAAAAUUCAACCACUAGCUAGGAACGGUCAAGCCCGCCGUUUUGACCGCAUUUUGAAACGGGCAUAAAAAAUUCAAAAAAAAAACAAAAAAAAUUGGAAGACCAAGUUUCCAGGAAAAAUAAUAAACUUGUAAUACGGAUAUUAUUUUAAAAAAGUGUUCUCAGAAAUGAGCUAUCAUGCGUGAAGAUUCAUGGCUUUCAAGCCAACUGAUCAAUCUUAUGGCCACAUUCAUGGCAUAGGUUGUUCAAAUGAUCUCAUAUUGUGCACAAGGGUGCGUCUUGGAAUGACAAACAAUGUUGGCAAAGGAAGUUUUCAUUUUCUGUGCACGGAAAAUUCAUUUUCCAUUUUCUGAGUGCCUGAAAUGAGUUUUUUUUGUGAAGGACCAACCAUAUAUUUGUUGCAAAAUUGGACCAAAUCAAUUUUAUAAAAUACUAGGCCAUAUUUAAUGCACAAUUGACAAAAUGGUUGGGUGUCAAAAGUUUUGAUCAACCUCUGGUGAAAAAGAAAAAUUUCCGCCGAUUCAGCUGGAAGCGUGUCAAAUUUGAACUGCAUCUGCCUCAUAGUUUGCUCUUUAUUUUUUUAAAUAUCAUUUCUAGGUACAUAAGUAUCUAUUUAAUCAGAUAAACAUCAAAAGUUUUCCAAGAUUCAACCACUAGCUAGGAACGGUCAAGGCCGCCGUUUUGACCGCAUUUUGAAACGGGCAUAAAAAAUUCUAAAAAAAUCAAAAAAUUGGAAAACCUUCGCAUUGUGUCAUUAUAUAUGACCAAGUUUCCAGGAAAAAUAAUAAACUUGUAAUACAGAUAUUAUUUUAAAAAAGUGUUCGUAGAAAUGAGCUAUCAUGCGUGAAUAUUCAUGGAUUUCAAGCCAAAUGAUCAAUCUUAUGGCCACAUUCAUGGCUUAGUUUGUUUAAAUGAUCUCAUAUUGUGCACAAGGGUGCAUCUUGGAAUGGCAAACAAUGUUGCCUAAGGAAGUUUUCAUUUUCUGUGCACGAAAAAUUCAUUUUCCAUUUUCUGAGUGUCUGAAAUGAGUUUUUUGUUGAAGGACCUACCAUAUAUUUGUUGCAAAAUUGGACCAAAUCAAUUUUAUAAAAUACUAGGCCAUAUUUAAUGCAUAAUUGACAAAAUGGUUGGGUGUCAAAAGUUUUGAUCCACCUCUGGUGAAAAAGACAAAUUCCCGCUGAUUCAGUAGGAAGCGGGUCAAAUUUGAACUGAAGCUGCCUCAUAGUUUGCUAUUUAUUUUUUCCAAAAAUCAUUUAUAGUUACAUAAGUACCUAUUUAAUCAUAAAUACAUGGUUUGGUGGAGAUACGUCGAGGUUUGGACGGUGGUCGAGGGCCCCAACUCUAGAGCGCGUAAACUCGCAUGCCCGCCGCGUGGUCACCGCGUGAGUGUGGUGUUGCCAUGUGUUCUGGGCGGCCUUGGCAUGUCUAGUGGGUUGGGCACUCCCCAGGUAGGUGCAAGGAAUAAAAUCACAACAUAAGAUUCUCACGAGGAGACUGAUCGAUGCUCAAACAUGAAUAAGCAGCCAAGUGUUUGAUUAGCGGUACGGGAAAUGCACAUGGCUAAUGGGUGUGAGUUUUGGCUGACGAUGAUCAGUUACUAAGAAGACCGUCUUCACAAAUUUUUAGCUCAAAAGGAGGAGCGUAGGUGGUACUUGCUUUGCAAAGUACCACACUGGACAUAAAUACGAAUGUUAACGCUGGGCUCAAAAUAAUGAAUGGAUUGAGCUGGCAUUUGGUGGAGGAUGGUUAUUUGGGCAUAGGAAAGCACUGUAGAAAAUGGAUACCAUUUGGACAUGCCAAAGUGGUACUUCCUUCACAAAGUGCCGCUCUGAACAGAAUAGGAAAAUGAAUACUGUUGAGUUAUUUUUGAACUAGGCAAGGAAUGUUUUUGACAUAUUUGAUGACGAUAUGAUCCAAACAAUUUAUGAGAAUUUUUUGGGAAUUUUUGGAAUAAAAGAAAUAUAGGUUGCUUCACAACCUAGGGCAAAAAUUGACACAUGAACAUGACACAUAGGCAAAACUGAUGAGAUGGCGCCUAGUCAUCACAACCCACCACAGUCUACAAGGCUAUGACCAUCUAUAUUGGUCGUUAACAACUAAAAAUAAGGCAGCGGACCAGCACUGUUUGCUUUAUGACCAUUUCGUGUAAGGAAAUUACGACCUUUCUGACCAAAAUGGUCGCAAUGGUUUAGGGUUUGGAGCCCCCCGAACAGCUUUUGACCAAUUGGUCUCAAAUGGUCAUAGAUCUAUGACCAAUUCUUUCAGGGUCACUGACAGAAGGUCACUAGUUGACAUAUUUCUUGUAGUGAGCGCUGGGCUAGCAAGCCCAUGGACCAGGCACCGGUGCAGCCGUGGCAGGGCAGCGCGGUGCUUGUUCGCUGGAGAGAUCAAGGAACGGAGGAAUCGUGCAUAGUGAGAUUUGUUUGAAGAAAAGAGACCGAGUCCUAGAAGGAUUAAGCGUCCUCAUGUUUGAGCCAGAGAUGUGCAGCAACAAGGCAGCUCCUUUGUGUAACACGUCUGUUGGAAUAGGCUAAGGGAUUGACAUCAAUUGCUAGCAUCGAGAGUUCAGCUAAGACAUGAGCUACGUCAUGUGAAGACCAAAUAGUUGAAUCGCUAGUAGUAUGCGGAGGUUCCGUUCGUGUACUUGAGGAUCAUGGGAAGACCGCUCAGUUAGUUUUUCACAGGGUCAGUCAUACAAAGAACCAUGGCGUCAACGGAUACUAGGUUUGAGGUGGAGAUGUUCAACGGAACUGGAAACCUUGGGUUAUGGCAGACAAGGAUGAAAAAUUUGUUGGCACAACAAGGAUGCCUGAAGGCGUCGGGGGUGUCAAGCCAGUUAAAAUGGACGAUGAUGGUUGUGAGGAGUGGCAGAUGGUUGCAAUCAGGAAAGUUCGGCUCAGGUCAGACACAUAGGGCAGUUGGCCUGGACAGUCUGACGGAUCGACACAAGUCGGUUGGUACAGAAGACGGUGGUGAUAUCAGCGACGACGACUAAGGAGCGUGAUGCUGAUUGUGACCAACUUCUGGGCGUGAAAACACGUGGCAUAGGCCCGAGGGUUUGUGUGGCUUCGACAAGACUAUGGCGCGGGGUUGCUUCAAGACGGUGCACAUGAGAGCUUGGAGUCGACGAGGCGCGGGGUGGCAAGUACAACCACCAUGGAGUCAUGUUGAAGGUGGAGCUGGAUUGAGGGGCUACGAUGUAAGGAUCCAGAGAAUCGAACCUUAUUCAGUAAGGGGGAAAAGCGAGUGACAUGCAGUUUGGACUGGAGCCCAAUGGUCUGAUGGAAGCGUGAAACUCGUCAUCGGUCGGUGAUGAUCGGUGGUACUCUGCAGUGGGGGUUGAGUCGUGUGGGUUCACGACCCUUGAGACUCGACCGGGACAGCGGAGGCUCGGCGCAGUAAUAGCGCCGAGGUGUGCACUAUGCACAGGGAGAUGGAGACGGGACAUGGCUCUGGUGGUCAUACAUAUGGUGAGGCAGCUGUGAAUUUGAUUCGGGAUGACUACAAGCAAUGAUGAAAUUCCUUCAAGUUUCAGACAUAUGGUCAAGAAAGAGUGGAGAUGUGGAGUCGUGUCCUAGUAGGACACUUGUAUCCUAGGCCUCUCAUAUAUAGCGGGGCUAGACACACGAUGUAACCUAUGCCAACAUAAUAGCACGGGAACACAGGGGAAGCCGGCGGCAUGUGCCGGCGUCCAGGGCAACCCGGUGCGGUAUUGUAGCGGUGACAUGGGGAGGAGCGCCCAUAGUCAGGCCCCGGGGAUGUAGCCAUAUUGGUGAACCUCGUUAACAAAUCUCGGUGUCGAGCUCAUGUGAUUGCUUGGUCCUGGGACGAUCGACGGUAUAUCUGAAAUUUAUUCUAACAGCAUUCAAGCUCCAAUGUGUACGCCCCACCAUUCGGGGCCACCACGCUACAUGAAAGGAGCGCUCCCGCACCAGAAAGACAACCACACAAGAAGUUAGCCUCGCCAUUGUCGUUCUCUGGCGUUAGUGGGGGAGGGGGCAAGAAAAGGAGGCGGCAGCGGCUAGGAUUUGCCUGAGCCGUCCCGGCAUCCAAGCUCAGUUGCGUACGCCUCGAUCUCUCCCACAAGAGAGACAACCGCAUGAGAAGGUAGCUCCUCCAUUGCCGUCCUUCGGCAGCAGUGGGAGGAACAUGGAAAGGAGGCGGCGAUAUCUAAGGUUUACCACCAGACCCCCUCUCACCCCCCAAAGCGACCAAUGCGAUAUGUUUGGAACCACCUAAAUCAAGUGAUUCCUGGACAGAAAAUAAUAAUAAUGCAAACUAGUUGAAGGGUCCUCUCCCUCUAGGUUUAUAAUUCGGGUGUAUAUUCCUGGGUUAUAUGUCAUGAAAAAUACACCAUUAGAAACUUCAUCCAAAUACAAAUUCAUCAGUAAAUUUUUUGGUAAAUUAUAACUUGAUGUUCGUUGGUUUAGGUGACGACACGUAGAUAUGGGGAGGCAUCGUAAAAGGGAAAUAACCUUUUUUGCUCGAUGAAAAGGGGUUGUAAUCUCGGGGAACCAAGACUUUGCGCGUGGUACUCGAAAAGAAAGAACAAAAAAGAUUGCGACCAUGAGAGGAAUCUUCUAGUGGAGAGACAAAAGUAGCACCGCGCGCGCUCGGUGGACGUGGUGCGUGAUGCAACUUCAGUAGCCCAACCGCCGUAGUACGCACGCACAUACGGCCGAUGGAUCAUCAGUCAGACAUGGCUAGCUAUUGUUUUCACUGGCAAAAAAGGAAGGAGAAGACGUAACUAAUUUAGCUACUAGUACUACAUACGGAGAAGAAAAAAUAAGAUGAAACAUGCAUCCAUGGCUAGCUGAUGAGCCCCUCCACUCGCAUGCUAGAGCUAGCUAGCCUAGCCCACAUGACGGCCACGCCAGGGGACACUGGUACAAUUGCAUGCAUCGUGGCUGAACUGAUCAAUCUACUCCCUCCGUUUCUAAAUACUUGUCUUUCUAGAGAUUUCAACAAGUGACUACAUACGGUGCAAAAUGAGUGAAUCUACACUUUAAAAUAUGUCUACAUACAUCCGUAUGUUGAGUCCAUUUGAAAUGCCUAGGAAGACAAGUAUUUGAGAACGAAGUGAGUAUUUAGUAGCCACCACACGAUCGACACGGCACGCGCAGCACCGCGCUGAUUGUCAUUUCACAACUAGUUAGUGCCAAUAUAUCUGUUGAUAGCCGGAGCUGCUACAUGCAUGCAUGUCUCGAGCGAGCAUGUGAGCAGCAGCAGUAAUAUACUCCCUCCGUCCGGAAAUACUUGUCAUCAAAAUGGAUUAAAGGCGAUGUAUCUAGACGUAUUUUAGUUCUAGAUACAUCCCUUUUCAUCCAUUUUGAUGACAACUAUUUUCGGACGGAGGGAGUAUAAUCCUAUCGCCAUCCUAUCGCCAUCCUUGCCUACAAAACUACAUAUGCACGCCCGCGCCGGGCCGGCCAUGUCAAUAUAAUUACUCAUCCUUGCCUACAAAACAACGAAGACAAAUUCAGUGUCCUUGUUUCGUACAUCAAGUCGAGUUGACACGUACGCACACUCGCACAGGCACCGGCACCGGCACCCGCGCCGGAAAAAAUGCAUGGCUGGCGCCAUGGAAUUGGCUAAUCCUAGCUACUGCUUUCUUGCCUAGUAAAAUGCAUGUAAAUCAUUGAUGGUUCUACCUAUCUAGCAGUCCUAAUGCAGCUUUGCAGGGAGUUGAGAUCGACUCAUCCUAUAUGGCAUCAAGUUAUGGUAACGUUGUCGGUCGGUCGGCGUUACCACGUACUACACGUUAUGUCGUUAUGGUACUGCUUGUAAGUAGAACGACACCUGAACCAAUGAUAUAACUCGACACUAGGUGCCUUACAUAUUAAGUAGUACUUUUUUUUUUGUUCUACUAGCUAGCUAGAGAGGCGGUCAAAUUUAUUUACUACUCACUCCGUCCGGAAAUACUUGUCAUCAAAAUGAAUAAAAGAGAUGUAUUUAGAUGUAUUUUAGUUCUACAUCCAUCCCUUUUUGUUCAUUUUGAUGACAAGUAUUUUCGGACGGAUGGAGAACAACCUAGUCGGCCCAUUGUCAAACCACUCUCCCAUCAGCGUCGUCAUCUUUUGGCCAAAAAGAAAAGAAACUGCGUCGUCAUCGAUCGAGCACUAAACUAAAUCAACAUUUCAAGCUUGUGGUUGGUCGAUCAAUUUCUUGAUUCUUGUCCAUUUCAACUAUUUAUGAGACGAGAUCGAUGCUGCCCGAUGGUCCCGCUCUUGCCUGCGUAGUGCUGAAGAAGGUGAGCGAAGCUUCUCAUAAUUCAAAUGAUCCAGCCUGAUCGAUGGGCCAUGACUGACGGCGGAGGGCAACGCAUGGUGUACCACGCAUGCACUGUCUUUCCAACAUCGGUCGAGUAGUAUAAUUUGACAGACUGAGAUCCCAAUCAGACAACCUUUCCAUUCCUCACAUUGCAACCACCUACUGACCUACCUAUAAAAUGCAUGCAUGCUAUUCUAUGAAAUGAGAGAAAGGAAAAGGUCGCCAAUGCCGCGGGCAUUAACUAAGGCAACAUUGGCAAGGUUUGGCUGAGGAGGUGGUGGUUCCCGCACACUUGCUCCGAGGGGCGUUGGUAAGAGCAACUUCAAUGGGGCGACCCAUAUAAUCCGCCGUUGUUCGUUUGGGUCGGCGCGGAUAAAAAAGGAGGCCCAACGUGCCUACCCAAACUCAAAUCGUGUCCGUUUUGCAUCUGCGCCGACGCAUUUGCGGCCCAAAUUUGCACCCUAAAUGCAUCGGCGUGGACGCGGAACGGACGCCACACGCGCCUUCUCGUUGUCCGCCGCGUCCUCACCUGGCUGUCAUCCAACUGCCCACGGCCAACCUGGUCAGCUUAUUUAUGACCUCGAACCCACGCGUCAGCAACGACGGUCGUCCUUUUUUAAACCGACCGUGCUGCGGCACCGUCCUCAUCCACUUCCCAGUCCACAUCUAGCCCGCUCUGCUUCCCCGUCGCUGGCAAACCCUAGCCACCACCACCACAACGAGAUGUGGCUCUUCUCCGGCUCCAGCAGCAGCAAGGCCAAGGGCAAGGCCCCCGCCAUCCGUUCCCCGCGGAGUUCCUCCCGCCUCCGUCGGCGCCGGCAGAGGCAGCACAUGAACGUGCCCGUGCACCAGGCGGAGUGGCACUGGCAGCACCGCGUGCCUCUGUCGUUAAUACAAGUCACUUUGUUAGGGCUUGAUCCCUAGUAUCAUGCAAUUGAAUCAAUUUGUUAGGGCUUGAUCCCUAGUAUCCACUAUGUUUUGAGAUUGAUGUUGCUAUGAAUUUACUAUGCUUAAUGCUUGUCACUAGGGCUCGAGUACCAUGAAUUCAUAUCUGAACCCUCUAUGUUUCUAUGAAUAUACUUGAGUUCUUGAUCCGAUCUUGCAAGUUGUAUGCACCUAUUACAUGUUGUGAUCCGCAUACUCCAAGGUGACAAUAAUUGGGAUUCUUUCCGAUGAUUACCAUAGUUUGAGGAGCUCAUGUAUUCACUAUGUGCUAAUGUUUUGUUCUGCUUCUCUAUUAAACGGAGGCCUUAAUAUCUCUUAGAUUUCCUUAUGGACCCCACUGCCACUGGAGGGUAGGACAAAAGGUGUCCUGCAAGUUUUUAUUAUAUGCACAUAUGACUAUAUAUGGAAUACAUGCUUACACUACAUUGAUGAAUAUGAGCUAUUGUGUAUUGCUCUAGGUUGUGACUGUUACAUGAUGAAUAUCAGCCAACACAAUUAUUCAUCACUGAUCCAGUGCCUACACAUUUCUCAUAUUGAUUAUUGCUAAGUUACUAUUGCUGCUGCUGCUGUUACAAUUACUAGAAAACUGCUACUGUUACCAUUACCGUUACUAUUACUACUGUUACCACUACUAUGAAUCUAUAAUACUAUUGUGCUACUGGUCAUUUUGCUACAGAUAUAUAGUUCUCUAGGUGUGGUUGAAUUGACAACUCAACUGCUAAUACUCCCUCCAUUCCCUUAUACAAGGCCACAAACUCAUGUUACAGGUACCAAGACAAAAUUUAAUGACUCCCUUUGCAAGUUAACUUUUCUUUUCGUUAACCGAGUGUUGGGGAACGUUGCAUAAAAUAAAAAAUUUCUUACGUUCACCAAGAUCAAUCUAGGAGUUCGUCCAGCAACGAGAGAGAGGAGUGCAUCUACAUACCCUUGUAGAUCGCGAGCGGAAGCAUUCAAGAGAACGGGGUUGAGGGAGUCGUACUCGUCGUGAUCCAAAUCACCGGAGAUCCUAGCGCCGAACGGACGGCACCUCCGCGUUCAACACAUGUACGGUCAACGUGACGUCUCCUCCUUCUUGAUCCAGCAAGGGAAAAGGAGAGGUUGAUGAAGAUCCAGCAGCACGACGGCGUGGUGGUGGAUGCAGCAGGGAUCCGGCAGGGCUUCGCCAAGUGUCUGCGGGAGGGAGAGGUGUAGCAAGGGGGAAGGGAGGCGCCAAGUGCAAGGGUGCGGUUGCCCUCCCUCCCCCCUCUUUAUAUAGGGUCCCCAGGGAGGGGCGCCAGCCCUAGGAGAUGGGAUCUCCUAGGGGGGGGGGGCGGCCAAGGGGGGAGCCUUGCCCCCCAAGGCAAGUGGAGGCGCCCCCUCCCCUGGGGUUCCCAACCCUAGGUGCAGGGGAGGCCCAAGGGGGGCGCACCAGCCCACCAGGGGCUGGUUCCCCUCCCACUUCAGCCCAUGGGGCCCUGCGGGAUAGGUGGCCCCACCCGGUGGACCCCCGGGACCCUUCCGGUGGUCCCGGUACAAUACCGGUGACCCCCGAAACUUUCCCGAUGGCCGAAACAGCACUUCCUAUAUAUAAUUCUUCACCUCCGGACCAUUCCGGAACUCCUCGUGACGUCCAGGAUCUCAUCCAGGACUCCGAACAACUUUCGGGUUACUGCAUAUUCAUAUCUCUACAACCCUAGCGUCACUGUCGGUGUCAAAACCGGCGGAUCUCGGGUAAGGGGUCCCGAACUGUGCGUCUAGGCGGAUGGUAACAGGAGACAAGGGACAUGAUGUUUUACCCAGAUUCGGGCCCUCUUGAUGGAGGUAAAACCCUACGUCCUGCUUGAUUAAUAUUGAUGAUGUGUAUUACAAGAGUGGAUCUACCACGAAAUCAAGGAGGCUAAACCCUAGAAGCUAGCCUAUGGUAUGAUUGUUGUAAUGGAGGUUGUGUCCUACGGACUAAAGCCCUCCGGUUUAUAUAGACACCGGAGAGGGCUAGGGUUACACAGAGUCGGUUACAAUGGUAGGAGAUCUACAUAUCUGUAUUGCCAAGCUUGCCUUCCACGCCAAGGAAAGUCCCAUCCGGACACGAGACGGAGUCUUCAAUCUUGUAUCUUCAUAGUCUUGGAGUCCGGCGGACGAUGAUAGUCCGGCUGUCCGGACACCCCCUAGUCCAGGACUCCCUUAGUAUCCCCUGAACCUGGCUUCAAUGACGAUGAGUCCGGCGUGCAUAAUGUUUGGCAUUGUAAGGCGGGUUCCUCCUCCAAAUAAUCCAUAGAAGAUUGUGAACACCAAGAUAGUGCCCGGCUCUGCAAAAUAAAUUCCACAUUCCACCGUAGAGAGAAUAAAAUGUACACAAGUUCAAUCUGCUGACGUACUCCGUGGCAUGACGUCACGCCACUACCAAGCCUUUACUUGAAUCGUUUUUGUUUAUACCACCUCAGCGCGUUUAGCGAAGCGGUUUCCUUGGCACGUCUUGUCGAAGCAGAGAUCGUGUUCCCCUUAUUCCGGGAUUCUCAUCAAUACGGACGUGGGUAACCCAACCGCGCCAUUGAUGGUGGCGCUUGGGAGAUAAGCGAGUUUUACCAGGCUAGUGGGGACGCAUAGUCUUCGUCCGCCUAUAUAUAAGGGAUAAGGAUUCACCUUUUCACCUACGCCUUCUUCCUCCUUUUCUUAUCCAUCUCCGCGCACUCGAGCUCCAGCGCCCAAGUUCGCGCAUCUCGUCUCAACCUUCUCCGACUAUGUCCGGAGAGGGAGGCAAGUGGUUGGCCUCCACCGUUAAGGAGGAGCACAUCACAAAGCUGCGCAGCGCCGGAUACCUUUCCGGCGACAUCGCGCACCGGCUGCCCGACGAGGGGCAGCUCAUCCCCACCCCCAGGCCCCAUGAGAGGGUCGUUUUCCUUCCUUACUUCCUCCGCGGACUGGGCUUUCCACUUCACCCCUUUGUCCGGGGGCUCAUGUUCUACUACGGCCUGGAUUUCCAUGAUCUGGCACCGAACUUCAUCCUCAACAUCUCGGCGUUUAUCGUCGUGUGCAAGGCCUUCCUCUGCAUCCAGCCCCACUUCGGCUUGUGGCCCAAGACCUUCAAUGUCAAGCCGAAGGUAGUGAAGGGCACUCAAGCGGAGUGCGGAGGCGCCAUGUUGGGCAAGAUGCCAACGUCCUUUGGUUCGAAGGGGCCUUCGUGGAAUCCGUCAAGGGGUGGCAGUCGGGGUGGUUCUAUAUCACCGAGCCGCGCGACCCUACGUGGGCGGCGGCCCCCGAGUUCAGAUCUGGUAUCCCUACGCAUCUCACCUCCUGGAAAGAGAAGGGCUUGCUAUGGGGUAAUUCAAAGGAGCUGACGGGACUCCAAGCCUGUAUCCAGAAGCUGGUGAACAAGAAGCUCAAGCUUGUUAACGUGGUCCAAGUCAUGCUCGUCCGCCGGAUUCUCCCAUGCCAAGAACGAGCAUUCAAUCUGUGGGAGUUUGAUCCGGAACAGCACCAGGCGCUGAGCGGGCUCUUCGACACGACGUACGAAGACGCAUGGAGGGUGCUGUUUAAGGGCGCCGAAGCCCCCGCAUCCGCGACGGAAGAUCGCGGAUUUCACUCGCAGCAUCCAGCUGACGAGGUAAGUGAUUCUACCCCUUUACGGGACACUUGUUGUUAAUAGUUUGAUUCUGAGCGGGUUUCAAUCUCCCUUUUCCUUUGACAGGACUGGAUGAAGAAGGCGGAGCACCUCGUCUGCCCGGCUCCCAUGCCAGAAAACCCAGUAGACGCCCGUCUAGCGGGGCUGCUGGUUCCGACACCGCAUGUGGUGCCAGAGAAGAAGGCCAAGAAGGUGGCCACAGGUACUCGAAAGAGUUCCCGUUUUCAGGUCUCCGAUGACUCCGAGGCGGACUCCUCCCCCGAAGAUGAGUAGGAGGAAGAAGACUCUCUCCCAGAGGAGGGAGAGAGGAAGAGGAAGGCUUCCCCAACAGGGGAGGCCGAAGGGUCCAAGAGGGGGAGAACUAUUCCCCCGGACAGCUCUGCCAACACCAAAAUUUGGCGGCGAAGAGUGGCCUUCAAGGGCCAGACCUCCGGCGAGAUCGUAAGUAUCCGGAUUCCUGAACGAUUUAUAAUUUCUCUUUUGUGUCACAUAGUGUCCUUCUAAUGCCGCAUACUGCCUGCAGUCCGGCCGAUGAUGAUCUCCCCGCUUCAUCAAGCGGGUCGUUGGCUCAGUCGGAUGUGGAUUCCAUCCCGACUGCCUCCACCCCUCGCGCCGCUGAGGACGCCGAGGUGGGAUCCCAAGAAGGGACCCAUCAGGAGGAGGCUCCGGAGGCGCCGCAAGGCAGCUUCCCGGACUUUGCGCUGGACUCCACACCGGAACCCGCAGUGGUUCCGGAGUCCGACAGGCGGCCCCUUUGCAAGAAGGGAAAGACCGUGACACCGGCGGCCUCCGCCCAAUCGGAGGCGCCGGACAACUUGCUGGAGGCACUCCAAGGCGCUUCCAUUGAGGAAGAACACCGCACUGUUGUGAGUGCGGUGAUUCAGAAGGCUCAGCUCGCCAAGAGCGGGCUGACCGAAGCCUGCAGUAGCCUUCUAACAGGCUUUGAGGUAAGAAGUUAAAAUUAUGUAAUGUAAUACCGCAUAGACAGUAGCCCCUGAUGCUCAGUUCGGUGUUUGGAAAGAAAAGCCGGACUGAGGAUCUAAAAAGAUAUACGCAGGGUUGCUAAAAAGUAUGUCAAUAUGGGUUUGCAGGCAGCACUGCUGACCUCUGCCGCACUGACUGCGGAGGUCGAUGCAUUGAAGCAGGAUCUCGAGUGGUCCGAGCAAGAGCUCGGCCGUUCCAAGAAGCAGCUCGAGGACAAAGAAGGUGAGUAACACCACUUUGAAUCGUUACCUUACAGAAAAGGAUUUAGGUUGCAAAAAAUAACAAGGAUAACAUGGGCACUACAGGGGCCACGAACGAGGUGGCAGCCCUGAAGGAGGCUGUGUCCGUGGCCGAACGCAAUGCGGCCGCGGGCAGAGCGAGAAAAGCAGGAGGCGCGGGUGGAGGAGGUGCGGCAAGAGCUCCAGGCUCUCAUGGAGAAGCAUGAGAGUUUGGAGCGCGACUCAAAGACUCGAGAGUCCGAGCUCGCCUUGGCUCUCGAAAGUGCCAAGUCCGCCAAGGCCGAGGCCCGUAAGGCCCUUCAGGAGGUUGAAGAUGUGAAGAAAAUAGCGGCGGGUAAGGCAUUUUUCAUGCAAAGCAAGCAUGUUAAUGUAAACUACCUGACACUUACCCGAAUUCGGAGCUCUCCAGGGGCGUUUGCAGAUCUACCUCGCAGUGUAUCCAAUGCUGCUGCAUUCUACCGUGGUGAGGAGGGGAGCUCAACGGAGAAGGUCUUCUGGUCUCAGUACGCUGAGGCCGGCCAUCCGGUGCCCCCUAGCGACCAGCUGAAGCAGCUGGUCGAGCUCCACAAGGUAGCUGAGGAGGCCAUGAAGGGCCUCAUAGUCCAGCUGUGGCCUGGAGAGGCCAUGCCUGGGAGCUACUUCAGCCUCGUGCGGCGGCUGGUGGAUGCGUGCCCCUGGGUGGAGGUCAUCAAGCGCUCCGCCUGUAUUGAAGGUGCUCGGCGGGCCCUUGCCCGCGCAAAGGUGCACUGGGGCAAGCUGGAUGCGGAGAAGCUCAUCACUGACGCGCCGCCAGCGGGCAAGGAGUAUCGUACGCCCGAGAUGUACUAUAAGACUGUCCUGAAGGGUGCCCGCAAGAUUGCGGAUGAGUGCCCCAAAGAUGUAAUUAUUGAGUAAACUCUCUAUGUAUUAUCCUGUGCGCUGAAAACUUUGUUCAUAUGCGUGAAACAACGCUUGUUUGAUUUAAAAUAUUACCUUCUGUGCGGCCGUUUAUAAAAUCUGAGAGAUGGCAAGUCGUCGGCUUCAGCCCCCAAGCCACGAGUGCUGGGGUGUUCGGGAUAAACUUGAGCACUCUUGUUCCCAUUUUUGGGUCCAUCUAGGGAGGCGCUCAACACAAUGAAUAAGGCAACCGGACUUAUAAUGCUUGAACACUCUCACUUAGCCAUAGAAUUCUAUAAUUUUAAAUUUCGGCGAAGCCCCUAGUAUUCGGAAGACCGAAUUCGGGGCGCUAUCCACGCCUUCGUCGGACAUUAUCCGGUACUUCGCUCGAAGUGGCAUAAGUCUUUAGGGACCCGAAAAGACCUCUCGAACAGCGACCAGUCUCUCGCCUUAUCAUGCCAGUCAGUUUUAGCUUCCCCCACUGAGGCGCUCGCCCAGCUCAACCGGGGCGCAAUCGCAGUGGUUCUCCUAGUGCCACCUUAACCGACAGAACGGAACGUAAGGCACCAAAACGUGGGAGCAGGGCAAACCCAACUAUUGACCCAAGACAUGAUUCGGAGCUGAUUCAUAUAAUGCUAUAAGUUCAGGGUGCCGCACUUGUGAAAGUGUUCGGACUUAUCACACCAUAAUGUGGGGAACAUAAGCCCCUGGUGUAUUCGGCCGUACCAAAAUAUACGAGUGCAAGAUGUCAUUAGUGGACAUAUAUGUAAAGUAAUGCAAUUACAGACAAAAAGUGAUGCAUUAUUUAUUCAAGGAAUUCUGCUAUGAGUGUGGAAGGAUACAAAUAGUGCGGUAAGCAAGGGAUUGGACUAAAUAAACAUGUCCCCCUCCAGGGGUGGGCUGCGGACUGGUGUAUAUAAUCGAAUUUUAAUGCUCGUAAUGGAGACCACCUGAGUGUUCGUCGCAGCCUUUUUCCCUCCCUGGUGGUUGCAUCAUGAGUUCGGCGGGUUCGCCGCCGGACAGGGCCUCUGAUGAACGGAGUCUUGUGUAUACAAAGAAGGAAAAUAGAAAAAAAAGAGAGACACACUUGUGAGCCCCUGGUGUGGUUGAGCCGCACUCUGGGUCUGUUGUGGUCGUGCCCCUCCCCCGAGACCCAUGGUAUCUCCAGAGCGUAAUGAUGUACGCGGAGGGUUGGUCUUGCAAUCAUGCGAGGGCUGGGGUUGGGGCCGCAUUGCUACGCGUGCUCGGAACAUGCCAGGUGGUCUUGGUUGAUGUUGCUCCGGGCACGUUUGGCCGUGUCCGGCCGUUUAACGGUCUGACUCGAAAAUUGCCUUAGAAGGCUGCUCUGUACUUCUGCCGCGAGAGCCGCUGUAUGUUCCUCCGUUCGGAGGGAGCAUUCCGUAUUUCCGUUGACCGUGAUGACUCCACGAGGGCCUGGCAUCUUGAGCUUGAGGUAUGCGUAAUACGGCACCGCGUUGAACUUUGCAAACGCGGUUCGUCCGAGCAGAGCGUGAUAGCCGCUGCGGAAUGGGACUAUGUCGAAGAUUAACUCCUCGCUCCGGAAAUUGUCUCGGGAUCCGAAGACCACUUCCAGUGUGACUGAGCCUGUACAAUUGGCCUCAACACCUGGUAUGACGCCUUUGAGGGUCGUCUUUGUAGGUUUAAUCCUUGAGGGGUCUAUGCCCAUCUUGCGCACUGUAUCCUGAUAAAGCAGGUUCAGGCUACUGCCGCCGUCCAUCAGGACUCUCAUGAGGUGAAAUCCAUCGACGAUUGGGUCUAAAACCAAUGCGGCGAAUCCGCCAUGGCGGAUGCUGGUCGGAUGGUCUCUUCGAUCGAAAGUGAUCGGGCAAGAGGACCAUGGAUUGAACUUCGGGGCGACUGGCUCCAUCGCAUAUACGUCCCUUAGUGCACACUUCCGCUCCCUCUUGGGUAUAUGGGUUGCGUAUAUCAUGUUCACCGUCCGCACUUGUGGGGGAAAACCCUUCUGUCCUCUACUGUUCGGCGGCAGGGUCUCUUCCUCGUCGUCGCUAUGCAGCCCCUUGUCACUGCUUUCGGCAAUUAAUUUGCCUGCCUGCUUGAAUACCCAACAAUCUCUGUUGGUGUGGUUAGCUGGAUUUUUGGGGGUGCCAUGUAUCUGGCAUGAGCGGUCGAGUAUUCGGUCCAAAUUGGACGGACCCGGAGUUGUUCUUUUAAAUGGCUUCUUCCUCUGACCGGGUUUAGAGCCUCGGAAUCUGGCGUUGACUGUCGUAUCCUCCUUGUCGUCGCCGUUAACGCGGCAUUUAUUUUUGGUUCGACGCGACCUGCCAUUGUGGUCCUUGGUAUCCGGACUGCCAGAAUUUUUACUGAGGUUGUUGCUGCGAGCUAGCGAGCUGUCCUCUCCCGGACAGAAGCGGGUCAUUAGAGAUGUGAGGGCUGCCAUGGAUUUCGGCUUUUCCUGUCCUAGGUGCCGGGCUAGCCACUCGUCGCGGAUGUUAUGUUUGAAGGCUGCGAGGGCCUCUGCAUCCGGACAGUCGACGAUUUGAUUUUUUUUGUUAAGAACCGUGUCCAGAACUGUCUGGCCGAUUCGUCUGGCUGCUGAAUUAUGUGGCUUAGGUCAUCGGCGUCUGGUGGUCGCACAUAUGUGCCCUGGAAGUUGUCGAGGAAUGCGGCUUCCAGGUCUUCCCAACACCCAAUUGACUCCGCGGGCAAGCUGUUAAGCCAAUGCCGAGCUGGUCCUUUUAGCUUGAGUGAGAGAUACUUGAUGGCGUGGAGAUCGUCGCCGCGGGCCAUAUGGAUGUGAAGGAGAUAAUCUUCGAUCCAAACCGCGGGGUCUGUUGUGCCAUCGUAGGAUUCAAUGUUUACGGGUUUAAACCCUUCAUGGAUUUGAUGAUCCAUUACUUCGUCAGUGAAGCAUAGCGGGUGUGCGGCGCCUCUAUAUUGAGCAAUAUCACGACGUAGCUCGAGUGAGCGUUGUCUGCUGUGUUCGGCCCGGCCGGAGUUGUUGUAUCCGGCGCGACGGUAUUCGUCGUGGGUCGUGGGGCGCCCACGUGAUCCGUGGAUGGAUCUGGAUUGCCUUGCUUUGUCCUCCAAUAUAUCUCGCAAGUCCGGCGCGUUCCCUCUUGGCUUCGUACUUUUGGAGCGAUGCCGGGGUACGGUCUUGGUGGAGGGCCUAGAUGCCUCUCUGUUGCGACCACGGGGUGGUCGGUCGGCCGUAUUGUGUGCUGGUGAUGAAGGUAUGUAUGCUUCUUCCUCUAAUCGGGGGAGCAACUUGCUUUUUGGGUAACUCUUGGAGGGACGUUCGAGUUCAUACUCUUCGGCCGCGAGGACCUCAGUCCAUCUGUCGGCCAGCAGGUCUUGAUCAGCUUGAAGCUGCUGCUGCUUUUUCUUUAGGCUAUUUGCCGUGGCGAUAAGCCUGCGUUUAAAACGCUCUUGUUCGACGGGAUCCUCUGGCACGACGAAUUCGUCGUUGUUGAGGCUUGCCUCGUCUCCGGAGGGAGGUAUGUAAUUAUCAUCCUCGACCUCUUCGUCUGCCGCUCUCUCAUGAGGGUUUGCUUCUGCAUCCUCCUGCGCUGAAUCUUGCUGGAGGGGUUUGUCUUCGGCACUUUCUGGGGUGUUGUUAUCUCCUGUGCUGGAAUCUCCAUUCUUGCUAUGGCGGGAUUUAGAGCGGCGCCGCUGACGUCGGCGCUUGGGCUGUUUCUUUAAGGAAUCUUCCUCCGCUGCUUCUUCGCCGUCCCCAUCUUUUGGGGUGUCCACCAUGUAUAUGUCAUAUGACGAGGUGGUCUUCCAGUGCCCUAUAGGCGCUGGCUCUUGUUCGUCUCCGGCAUCGUCGUCCAUACCAUCGAUGUCAUCGGAGUCAUAGUCUAGCAUGCCGGUUAGAUCGUCGACAGUGGCUACAAAGUGGGUGGUUGGUGGGUUUUAGAUUUCUUCGUCGUCCGCAUCCCAACCAUCCUGGCCGUAAUCCGGCCAGGGCUCUCCGGAUGGCGAGAGAUGCUUUAGGGAAUUUAGGAUAUCGCCAAAGGGUGAGUAUUGGAAGAUGUCCGCGGCGGUGAACUCCAUGACCGGCGCCCAAUCAGAUUCGAUUGGCAGGGGCGCGGGAGGUUCAGAGUCCGGCAGGGAGUCCGGCACCUCGGAGUCAUGAGCUUUGCAAGGGACAAGGUUAGUGUUCGGCUCCAUCCCCGUGGAAGUUGCAGCCCCCGAGGCGGUGUCCAGCCACCGGUCCUCGAUCUGCGCGAUUGGCUCCGGACUAAGGGCCAGAGCGGAUUCGUGUGCGGCCACCAAGGCACUGUCCGGCGGCAGAGCUAAAUCAUGCCCAUCGUGACAGCGCGUCGCGCUCGGCUGUGGCUCGAGUCUGUCGAAGAUAAAGUCCCCGCGGAUGUCGGCCGUGAAGUUUACACUUCCGAACCUGACCUGAUGGCCAGGGGCGUAGCUUUCGAUCUGCUCCAGAUGGCCAAGUGAAUUGGCCCGCAGUGCGAAGCCGCCGAAUACGAAGAUCUGUCCGGGGAGAAAAGUCUCACCCUGGACGGCGUUGUUGUUGAUUGGAGGAGCCAUCAAGCCUAUCGGUGACGACACAGAGGAACUCUCAAUGAAAGCACCAAUGUCGGUGUCAAAACCGGCGGAUCUCGGGUAGGGGGUCCCGAACUGUGCAUGUAGGCGGAUGGUAACAGGAGACAAGGGACACGAUGUUUUACCCAGGUUCGGGCCCUCUUGAUGGAGGUAAAACCCUACGUCCUGUUUGAUUAAUAUUGAUGAUGUGUAUUACAAGAGUGGAUCUACCACGAGAUCAAGGAGGCUAAACCAUAGAAGCUAGCCUAUGGUAUGAUUGUUGUAAUGGAGAUUGUGUCCUACGGACUAAAGCCCUCUGGUUUAUAUAGACACCGGAGAGGGCUAGGGUUACACAGAGUCGGUUACAACGGUAGGAGAUCUACAUAUCCGUAUUGCCAAGCUUGCCUUCCACGCCAAGGAAAGUCCCAUCCGGACACGGGACGGAGUCUUCAAUCUUGUAUCUUCAUAGUCUUGGAGUCCGGCGGACGAUGAUAGUCCGGCUGUCUGGACACCCCCUAGUCCAGGACUCCCUCAGUCACCGAACCUUAAGUGUGUAGACCCUACGGGUUCGGGAGACAUGCAGACAUGACCGAGACGCCUCUCCGGUCAAUAACCAACAGCUGGAUCUGGAUACCCAUGUUGGCUCCCACAUGCUCCUCGAUGAUCUCAUCGGAUGAACCAUGAUGUCGAGGAUUCAAUCAAUCCCGUAUACAAUUCCCUUUGUCAAUCGGUACGUUACUUGCCCGAGACUCGAUCGUCGAUAUCCCAAUACCUCAUUCAGUCUCGUUCCCGGCAAGUCACUUUACUCGUACCGUAAUGCAUGAUCCCGUGACCAGACACUUGGUCACAUUGAGCUCAUUAUGAUGAUGCAUUACCAAGUGGGCCCAUUGAUACCUCUCCAUCAUACGGAGUGACAAAUCCCAGUCUCGAUUGAUGCCAACCCAACAGACACUUUCGGAGAUACCCGUAGUGCACCUUUAUAGCCACCCAGUUACGUUGUGACGUUUGGCACACCCAAAGCACUCCUACGGUAUCCGGGAGUUGCACAACUCAUGGUCUAAGGAAAUGAUACUUGACACUUGGAAAAGCUUUAGCUAAACGAACUAAACGAUAUUUGAGCUAUGCUUAGGAUUGGGUCUUGUCCAUCACAUCAUUCUCCUAAUGAUGUGAUCCCGUUAUCAACGACAUCCAAUGCCCAUAGUCAGGAAACCAUGACUAUCUAUUGAUCAACGAGCUAGUCAACUAGAGGCUUACUAGGGACAUGUUGUGGUCUAUGUAUUCACACGUGUAAUACGAUUUCUGGAUAAUACAAUUAUAGCAUGAAUAAUAGACAGUUAGCAUGAACAAAGAAAUAUAAUAAUAACCAUUUAUUAUUGCAUCUAGGGCAUAUUUUCAACAGUCUCCCACUUGCACUAGAGUCAAUAAUCUAGUUACAUUGUGAUGUAUCGAACACCCAUUGCGUCCUGGUGUUGAUCAUGUUUUGCUCUAGGGAGAGGUUUAGUCAACGGAUCUGCUACAUUCAGGUCCGUAUGUACUUUACAAAUAUCUAUGUCUCCAUCUUGAACAUUUUCACGGAUGGAGUUGAAGCGAUGUGCCUGGUCUUCUUGUGAAACCUCAGCUCCUUGGCAAGUGCAAUAGCUCCAGUGUUGUCACAGAAGAGUGUAAUCGGCCCCGACGCAUUGGGUAUGACUCCUAGGUCGGUGAUGAACUCCUUCACCCAGAUUGCUUCAUGCGCUGCCUUCGAGACUGCCAUGUACUCCGCUUCACAUGUAGAUCCCGCCACGACGCUCUGCUUGCAACUGCACUAGCUUACUGCCCCACCAUUCAAAAUAUACACGUAUCCGGUUUGUGACUUCGAGUCAUCCAGAUCUGUGUCAAAGCUAGCGUCGACGUAACCCUUUAUGACGAGCUCUUCUUCACCUCCAUAUAUGAGAAACAUGUCCUUAGUCAUUUUUAGGUACUUAAGGAUGUUCUUGACUACUGUCCAGUGUUCCAUGCUGGGAUUACUUUGGUACCUUCCUACCAAACUUACGGCAAGGUUUAUAUAAGGUCUGGUACAGGUCAUGGCAUACAUGAUAGACCAUAUGGCUGAGGCAUAGGGGACGACACUCAUCUUUUCUCUAUCUUCUGCCGUGGUCGGGCAUUGAGCUGAUCUCAAUUUCACACCUUGCAACACAGGCAAGAACCCCUUCUUGGACUGAUCCAUAUUGAACUUCUUCAAUAUCUUAUCAACGUAUGUGCUUUGUGAAAGACCUAUGAGGCGUCUUGAUCUAUCUCUAUAGAUUUUGAUGCCUAAUAUGUAAGAAGCUUCUCCAAGGUCCUUCAUUGAAAAACACUUAUUCAAGUAGGCCUUUAUGCUGUCCAAAAGUUCUAUAUCAUUUUCCAUCAAAAGUAUGUCAUCCACAUAUAAUAUGAGAAAUGCUACAGAGCUCCCACUCACUUUCUUGUAAACGCAGGCUUCUCCAUAAGUCUGCAUAAACCCAAAUGCUUUAAUCAUCUCAUUAAAGCGAAUGUUCCAACUCCGAGAUGCUUGCACUAGCCCAUAGAUUGAGCGCUGGAGCUUGCAUACCUUGUUAGCAUUCUUAGGGUCGACAAAACCUUCCGGCUGCAUCAUAUACAGUUCUUCCUUAAGGUGACUGAGGGAGUCCUGGACUAGGGGGUGUUCGGACAGCCGGACUAUCAUCGUCCGCCGGACUCCAAGACUACGAAGAUACAAGAUUGAAGACUCCGUCCCAUGUCCGGAUGGGACUUUCCUUGGCGUGGAAGGCAAGCUUGGCGAUACGGAUAUGUAGAUCUCCUACCAUUGUAACCGACUCUGUGUAACCCUAGCCUUCUCCGGUGUCUAUAUAAACCGGAGGGCUUUAGUCCGUAGGAUACAACAUACAUUACAACAAUCAUACCAUAGGCUAGCUUUAGGGUUUAGCCUCCUUGAUCUCGUGGUAGAUCCACUCUUGUACUACUCAUAUCAUCAAUAUUAAUCAAGCAGGACGUAGGGUUUUACCUCCAUCAAGAGGGCCCGAACCUGGGUAAAACAUCGUGUCCCUUGUCUCCUGUUACCAUCCGCCUAGACGCACAGUUCGGGACCCCCUACCGGAGAUCCGCCGGUUUUGACACGACAUUGGUGCUUUCAUUGAGAGGUCCUCUGUGUCGUCACCGAUAGGAAGGAUGCCUCCACCCGUCUUCAAGGACGGUGUUUUCACCAAAGGGGCCUUGGCCGCCGGCCAAACUAUUCGGCUAUGUGGUUUUCUUAUGACCGCCUAUUCGGCCAUGGCUUCGACGAUGACUUCUCGAGUCGUCAAAAGCAAUCUCCACGUCAGCUCGGAAUUCGCCGAGUGGCUGGAUCCGAUAGAGCUCUCGUCUGUCAACGAACUCUUGGAUCGCAUCGCCGCCCUGGGAGUCACUACGGACUACAAUCAGAUUGGGCUUAAAACCGAUCUGAGAGAGAUUAACUCUCCCCAUGUCACCCACCAUGUCGCAGUGGUAGAGGGACAAUGCGGCGACUUUUUUCCUGUAUUAAAAACUAGACAUGCCCGGGCUCCCGAACCCUCCACGCCGGAUUCCCGCGGAGGAACAGAAUUCGAUCGAGCACUGAACUUAAAGUCAGGCAUCAGGCCGGACUCGUUGGACAACGUCCAGCAAUCCAAGCUUCCAAAAUUGGAAACUUCACGGCCUUUAAGCCCCGAGAUGGGUAGGGAUCCGGAAUUUAUUCCACCCACCCACCCAGACAUAUGCGAUCUAUCCCUAAUACGGCAAGACCCCGCUGAAACAGUACAUCACUACAGGGCCCGAUUCCUCCUGGUCAUGGACAGGAUAAAGGACUGCCGAGAGGAAAACACAAUUUCAAUCUUUUGCAAUAAUUGCACGGACAAGGGAAUAUUGAACGCCAUCGGCCGUCGUAAAAUCACACACUUCACCGAUCUGGCGUCCAUAGUACAAAAAUACUGUGCGAUGGAGAGUUUCUGGAAAACCGAAAAUCAGUUUUGGGAUAAUUCGGCUCUGAAUACAACCCUAGUCUGCAACAAAAGGGUGUAUCAUACUCAGGCCCCAGAUACAAAAACCAAAAAGCAAAAACCCCAUAAAGGGCACGGAACCGUACUGGAGGGAUGGCUCAGCGGACCCUGUAAGCUUCAUAGUACAGAGGGCGCCGUCCCAGCACAUAGCCUUCGAGCAUGUUGGAUAUUACGGCAGGUGGCCAAAAGUGGCGAGGAGCUUCUAGCCCCAGAAAACCACUCCAACAAUACCGGUAUGGUAUCAACAGUCUUCGAGACCUUCGCAUCAAAUAAUAUGCGAAAAUGAACAAUUUGCGGCCUCGCCGAAGUCUACCAAGUAGCAACGGCAAAUCCAUGGAGCGACACAGCCGUCACCUUCAACGCCAGCGACGAACCUAAAUUCCGAACAGCCCGAGCACCAGCCGCACUGGUGCUUAGUCCCAUAGUGGAUGGCUUUCGACUUACAAAGGUCCUCAUGGAUGGCGGCAGCGGACUAAACCUCAUCUACGAGGAAACUCUUCAAAAAAUGGAAAUAGACUGGAGCCGUAUUGAGCGAAGCAGCACAACCUUCAGAGGAAUAAUCCCUAGCCGGGAAGCGCGCUGCACCGGAAAAAUAACACUCGAUGUGGUGUUCGGCUCGCCGGAGAAUUACAGAUCCGAAGAAGUCACGUUCCAAGUGGCCCCGUUCAACAGCGAAUAUCACGCUAUAUUAGGACGAGAGGCAUUCACAAUUUUCUAAGCCGUACCCCAUUACGGGUACAUGAAGCUCAAAAUGCCUGGGCCCGGCGGAAUAAUCACUCUCGCUAGUGAUCCAGACAUAGCACUCUGCGCCGAAAACAAGACAGCCGCACUAGCCCUGGAGGCACUAUCCGAAGCCCUAGCGGCAGAAGAACUCACCGCGCUGCGCUCUACGGUGAACAGGGAUGAUGUGAUACUCGAUAAAAGAUCCAAGUCCACCUCUUUCAAACCAACAGAUGAAAUAGUAAAAUUCCAGGUCCAUCCAACGGACCCAACAAAGACGGCCUCCAUUGGGGCACAAUUGAAUCCCGAAGUAGACGCCGCAUUGCGCGAAUUCCUUCAGGAAAUUUGGGACAUUUUCGCCUGGCAUCCUUCGGAUAUGCCCGGAAUCCCACGCAGGUUGGCAGAACACAGCCUAAACAUCCUAAAAGGAUUCAAGCCAGUCAAAUAGGCUCUUCGACGAUUUUCCGAACCCAAAAGACAGGCAAUGGGAGAAGAGCUAGCCAAACUAUUGGAAGCCGGAUUCAUCAGAGAUAUCAAACAUCCGGAUUGGCUAGCAAAUCUGGUAAUGGUACCAAAGAAGGACAAAUCCUGGCGCCUAUGCGUCGAUUUUAAAGACCUCAAUAAGGCUUGCCCAAAGGAUCCCUUCCCCCUCCCCUGCAUCGACCAAAUUAUCGAUGCUACCGCAGGGCACGAUUCGUUGUGCUUCCUCGACGCAUACUCCGGCUACCAUCAAAUCAAGAUGGCAGAAGCAGAUCAAGCUGCAACGGCAUUCAUCACUCCAUACGGACCAUUCUGCUUCAACACGAUGCCCUUCGGACUUAAAAAUGCCGGCGCAACAUAUCAGCACAUGAUUCAAACAUGUCCGGCUACCCAGAUCGGCAAAAUAGUCGAGGCAUACGUAGAUGACGUAGUCGUCAAAACCAAACACGUCGAAACUCUAGUAGACGACUUGAGGCUCACAUUCGACAACCUCAGAGCAUAUGACAUCAAGCUAAAUCCGGAAAAAUGCGUUUUCGGCGUACCAACCGGAAAGCUGCUGGGCUUCAUUGUAUCCGGUAGAGGAAUUGAAGCAAACCCGGCCAAGAUCCGAGCUCUGUCACAGUUGGAUAUUCCAAAAGACCUCAAGCAGAUACAAAAAUUAACCGGAUGCGUGGCAGCUCUAAGCCGUUUUAUCUCCCGCUUGGGAGAAAAGGCACUGCCCCUUUAUCGCCUCCUUAGGCGCACCGAACACUUCGAGUGGACGGAUGCUGCCACUGCCGGACUCGAAGAAAUAAAGGCCAUAUUGGCAACAAAUCCGGUCCUAGCCGCGCCAAACCUAGGCGAACCCAUGUUGUUAUACAUCGCAGCAACACAUCAAGUUGUAAGCGCGGUACUCGUCGUUGAACGAGAGACAGAAGGGCAUAAAUUCCCUCUUCAAAAACCAGUGUACUACGUAUCCACUGUGUUAACCCCCUGCAAAUCCCGUUACCCGCACUAUCAAAAGAUAGCCUACGCGGUGUUCAUGGCAUCCCGGAAGCUCCGACACUACUUUCAAGAGUGUUCGAUAACAGUGGCCUCUGAAGUACCACUCAAUGACAUUAUAAACAACCGCGAUGCAACGUGUAGGAUUGCAAAAUGGGCCAUCGAGCUCCUACCAUUCGACAUAACCUACAAGCCUCGGCGAGCUAUAAAGUCACAAGUUUUGGCUGACUUUGUCGCUGAAUGGACCGAAGCCGAACUCCCUAAAGAGUACGGCGCAUACUCCAAUUGGACUACGCACUUCGACGGCCCCAAAAUGUUGGCCGGACUGGGGGCUGGCGUUGUCUUGACGUCCCCAACCGGGGACGCAGUCCAAGACGUACUUCAAAUAAUGUACAUGGACUCCAACAACGCAGCCGAAUACGAGGCCCUCCUACAUGGUCUCCGGAUGGCAAUCUCCAUGGGCAUUCAGCGCCUAGAGGUGCGCGGGGAUUCAAACCUUGCAAUAUCCCAAAUAAACAGAGACUUUGACGCCAAGGAUCUGAAAAUGGCAGCAUAUCGCAACGCUGUCCUAAAAAUAUCAGCUCGGUUUGAAGGACUUGAAUUCCAUCACAUAGCCCGAGAUAAUAACCAAGCAGCCGACGUACUGGUACGCAUCGGUGCAAAACGUGACGCUGUCCCUCCAAAUAUCUUCCUGGAACGGCUCUUCAAGCCGUCCGUACUAUGGGAAGGGGAGACUGGAAAUGACAAACUGGAAACAACCGCGCCAACCGGCGAUCCAGCCGAUGACAUAACACCUUCAGCCCACGACAUAAUGGCAGUAAUCGCCCCGUGGACAGAACCAUUCCUAGCCUACUUGCUUAGGCAGGAACUCCCCGAAGACCAAAAUGAGGCCCGCUGCAUAGUCCGGCGAUCGAAAGCCUACAAGGUCCAUGAGGGAGAACUUUAUAAGAAAAGUACAACCGGAGUCCUUCAAAGGUGUAUCUCCGAAGAGGAAGGGUGAAACCUCCUGGCUGAAAUUCAUGCCGGACUAGGGAGAACUUUAUAAGAAAAGUACUGGAUUUUAUUGGUCGACGGCCCGGGCAGAUGCCCAGGACUUAGUCCAGAGAUGCGUCGGCUGUCAGCUCUUUGCUAAUCAGAGCCAUAUGCCACCCACCGCCCUCAAAACUAUACCCAUUACCUGGCCGUUUGCGGUCUGGGGGCUUGAUAUGGUUGGACCCCUUAAAGGGGAACCCACAAGCAAAGGUACCUAUUGGUCAUGGUGGAUAAAUUCACCAAAUGGAUGGAGGCCAAACCAGUCAAAACGGCAGAGUCCGGACCAGUGAUAGACUUCAUAUCCGGGGUCGUACACCGUUACGGUGUCCCCCACAGCAUCAUCACCGACAACGGCACGAACUUCACGGCCGACGAGGUUAAGUCAUGGUGCGAAAAUAUGGGCAUUAAGCUCGACUACGCUUCAGUCUAUCACCCUCAAACCAACGGUCAAGUGGAACGAGCAAAUGGUCUAAUAAUGAGCGGCAUUAAACCCAGACUAGUGCGGUCACUUACAAAAUCCGACACGCACUGGGUAGAGGAGCUCGACUCCGUACUCUGGGGGCUGCGGACAACGCCUAACCGCACUACUGGAUUCACACCAUUUUUUAUGGUAUACGGCGCAGAGGCGGUCUUGCCCUACGACAUCAUUCAUGACUCACCUAGAGUGCGCAUGUACGAAGAACGAGAAGCCGAGCUGGAUCGGCAGGACAGCUUGGACGCAUUGGAGGAAGAACGCGACAUCACCAAGGCUCGUUCCACAUUUUAUCAGCAGCAGGCUCGAAGAUAUCAAAGCAGAGAAGUACGGGCCAAGACUUAUAACGUUGGCGAACUAGUUCUACGCCUGCCGGACAAGAAAAAGGACAAGCUCAAGCCCAAAUGGGAGGGCCCCUUCAUCAUCGACCAAGUCUUGACCGGCGGGGCGUACCGUCUGCGAAAUGCAUCGGACAACCGAUUCGAGCCGAACCCAUGGAACGCAGCCCGUCUCCGAAGAUUCUACGCCUAGCACCGGAUUAAGAGUUCGUCCCCUUCCCCCGUUCAAAUCUUUUACACUCCAGCUGCAUUUCGUUUCUCUUUCUUCUCUUAACCUUUCUUCAUAAAAGGCCCUUAAGAGCCCACUCGCGCAUUGUUCGCACACACUUGAUGUGCCAUCCGCACUCAUUAUACCUGGGGGCUUCUUUUCAAGAAGCUCAAUUGUAAGGGCUUCAUGCCUAGCACAUGUGUCAAGCUUCCACAUGUACCUUUUACUCACCAUUAUAUGCAUCGAUAUGACUUAAGUUUUGGCCAAGCUGGGUAGCCUGGCUCCUGUGCUUACCCCUACGUUCCCGAUUGUUCAGCUAGGAGGUAAAGGGAGCACCUCUGCGAUUGUUACUGCCGGGUCAGCCGGAUGUGUACCUCAGACUGGGUGAAGCCGAAAGCUAGCGUUCUUAAGGGAAUAUUCGGUCGGUGACUUGAAAGAUGAUUUCUUACCUACCUGUUUAUCUGCCCCCAGAUGUUUUUCUGCUUUUUUCGCAGUCCGGACAUGCACUUUAGGGCAUGCCUCCCAGGGAAAGGAACCCCUAACGAAACUAUUCUCCCUAGAAGAUGUUUCUUACUAACCAUGUAAUAUAACAUACCUAGUUGGGCACUUGUCUGAUAAAGCACUAAUGACCCCUACGCCUGGUCUCCAUGCAUACCCCGGUUCUUUCUUAACCAAAAAGGUAUUCGGACACACUCCGGACUCUAGGGUCCCGAGGUCGAAGCGAAAAGGUCGGCAAAGACAAACGAUCUACAAUCCGGCUAGAAGGCAUUUCACAUGUCAUUUUAAAAUACAUUGUCAAAUUUACUGAUUGUAUUCCUCCUCAAUCCCGUCUAACAGGCUGUCUAACUUACAGUCCCAUUGGGAAAAUUUAGCAGCCAACUCUACUAGGCUGUAUACUAAACUCACAGGGAUCUCCUUCCCAUCGGGCCCCACCAGUCCAACUUCAGCCAUGUGGUUGGGAUCCGCCUUCUUGUACCGCGUCUUCACCAUGGCCCAAGCCUCCCUGGCACCCUGGUGGCAGGCCGAAAUCUUCCAUAAACAGAAGCGCUGCCGCACUCCCUGGAGUUUCUCCGCAAGCUCCCCAAGGCCCUCGGGUAGGGAGACGACUGGCCAUAAUGCCUGGACAACGCCGCUCAUCGCCUGCCAAACUCAUUCGAGCAGUUGCAACAGCUCGGGAAGUUGAUCACCCGUCGAUAUGGGCAUCUCCUCCGCAGGGCGACCUGUGACUAUACCUACAAGACAUAUUCUGUCAAUUGACUUCCUCGCCGAACUCUUCUUUUUCAAAGGAGUCCGCUCAAGCACUUAUUAUAGAUUCCGCGACGAAGCCGCUGAUUCUCCUUAACGGAGCCGGACAGCUCGACCCGAACGCCUUUCAGCUCUUCUCCAAGCUGGGCGUGGGCAUCUUGAAGCUUGUUCCUCUCCUGCUGUACUCUAUUCAGCACCCUCUCGCCGGCCUUCAGCUGGCGCAGCAGUUCCUGCCUGUCCGGAUCUUGCCCGGCAGCACCUGCAAUGUCAUUAUUAGACUUGUGCGCACGCCGCACAUCGCUUAUAUUUACCAAAAAAAUGUGUUACUAGGAGGGGCCUCUAUGUCUCCUCCUGCGGCAGCAAGUGCGGCCUCAAGUUGGGCCUUGCAUUCUUGCAGCUCCUGAGACAGCUGGGCAUUCUUCUCGGUAAGAGCCUGCGUUUCAAAUGAUCCUUAAAUCAGUUCACACAACUACUUUAAGUCUCGGGGGCUACUGGCAUAUAUAACCAUUAAAUUCCCUUACCCGUAUGUCUUUUACAUACUGCUCCGUGGCUCUGGUAAAACCAUCUUGAGCAGCACGGAGGUGCGCGUCCCCCUCGUUAAAAGCGUUCAGCGCCUCAGGGGAAAAGCACGCGUCACGAAAUACUGUCCGGUGGCGCCUAUCGUUCAUGGCGCUCUCCACCUCAGAUUUGGUGGCGGAUAGUCUGUCGGCAUCCUCCGUUGGAGGAGUAUCCGACCCGCGCCUUGCGCUUGCCUCCCCCUCCAGGCCGGGCGCUGGAGCCUGGCUGGUAUAGGCCGGAUCGGCAACCUCUACGCCUGCAGUCCGGCGGGCGCUUUUUCUCCUACAAAGAUCAUGAGCACUCAGACGCUUCCUAGGAACGUUGCUCUGAAUAUUUAAAUACGAGCUAUACCUUUGCGGCGACAUUUCAGUCCAUGCCGCGCUCCUUUUCUGCCUGCUAGUCCGGACUGGCCUUUGUUGGUCAGCUGCCGCGGGCUCGGCUUCCUGCCUUGAAGGCGCUUCCUGUAAAACACCAUCGUUCGCGAAGGUCAGAAAUGGGCAAGGAAGAGAUAAUGGUGUCCAGACCUCGGUCACAAUCACCUGGAAAGCCGGAUAUAGUCCGGGGUAGUCUGCCGUAAUGGCGACUAAAGCAUUAUCCAUACCGAGCUGGUGGAACACCCCGUCGAUCAGCUCCACCUUGAUAUUCAGAUCCUCUUCGGAGGCCGGAUCCUAGGAUCUUUCUGGAUCCUCGGGUUGCGGAGCUGGACUUACCAUGUCCUCCACAAUCCGGCGUAGUUCCUGCGCCGAAGACAUAAUGUAAGAAGCUUAAACUUCGAAAGCAUGGGUUGAGCCCUUAAAAGUGUUCGCUUACCCAGCCUCUAGGGUUGUUCAUGGAAAACCCAUUUAAGGGGUUCGUUCGAAGGAAGUCCUCCUUCUCCCCCUUGUACAGGCCGGACAGGAUCUGCACCAGAUCCUCGGUCGAAUCCGGCCCUUCGCGGCCGUGGCGGGUGGCAUCAUCUUCCCCAUUGAAAUCCCACAUGGGGUGGCCCCUGUAUUGCAAUGGAUGUACCCCCCGCAUGAUGCAUGUGGCCAUGACUCCAAUCAUGGUCAACCCGGAAUGGGCCAGUGAUCUUAUUCGGCCCAUCAGGUAAUGGACGCUCUUGUCUCCCUCCAAUUGGGGGCUCCGCGGGCGCCAACUAAGGCGUUUCUUCAGAGGAGUAGCACUGAACUCCGGGAGGCCGAUCCGGACUGGGUCCGGCAGCGGAGCGUUUUCUAUGUAAAACCACUCCGAAGGCCAGUCUUCGGACGCCUUCUUGGGGGUUUCGGAUGGAUAUCCGGUCCCGGCAAUGCGCCAUACUUCGGCGCCACCCACUUGAUAUAUAGAUCCCUCAUGAGGACGGGGUACGAGGCAGAACAACCUCUUCCACAGUGCAAAAUGGGGCUCGAUGCCCAGGAAUAGCUCGCAAAGAGCUACGUAGCCCGCGAUAUGCAGGACAGAGGCGGGUGUAAGGUGAUGGAGCUGGAGUCCGUAGAACUCCAGGAGCCCGCGGAGGAACGGAUGUAUCGGAAAUCUGAGUCCCCUUAUCAGAUAGGGGACGAAGCAUACCCGCUCCCCUUUGUUGGGACUUGGGGUAGCCUCUGCUUGCUUCCCACCUUGGCAGGUGGCCAGCCCGGCUCGAACCAGGAUCAUGAAGGCCGGAGGAAGAUAUCCCCCCGCUUGGAGCUUCACUAGCUCGUUGUGUGGAACAGAGCACCUCCUCCAAUCUCCUGGCGGUGGGCUGGGAGCGCGAGAAGAGGAGCCGCAUCGACGGUCCAUGAUGGAAUGGACUUUCGGGUCAAAGGCACUCCGAUGAGCAUUCGCGGAAGGAAGAUGGUGUGAUUUGGAUCUGGAUUAUUGCCUCUUUUGUAGGCGGAAGAUUUGCACGACUAGGGGGUGAAACAUAAAAGACACCCUGGCUUUUCGCGUUCGUGCGACGCGUGGAAGAAGGUCAUUAUUGGGCGUAGAAGCCGAGAAGCACAGCAUUUAUGAGGAAGCCGGACACUGUUCGGCAGGUACAUGGAACUUGAAGGGAGAACCCGCCUUGCAACGCUGAAGACUAUAUACGCGCUGGACUUAUCGUCAUUGAAGCCUGGUUCGGGGGCUACUGAGGGAGUCCUGGACUAGGGGGUGUCUGGACAGCCGGACUAUUAUCGUCCGCCGGACUCCAAGACUACGAAGAUACAAGAUUGAAGACUCCGUCCCGUGUCCGGAUGGGACUUUCCUUGGCUUGGAAGGCAAGCUUGGCGAUACGGAUAUGUAGAUCUCCUACCAUUGUAACCGACUCUGUGUAACCCUAGCCUUCUCCGGUGUCUAUAUAAACCGGAGGGCUUUAGUUCGUAGGACACAACAUACAUUACAACAAUCAUACCAUAGGCUAGCUUUAGGGUUUAGCCUCCUUGAUCUCGUGGUAGAUCCACUCUUGUACUACCCAUAUCAUCAAUAUUAAUCAAGCAGGACGUAGGGUUUUACCUCCAUCAAGAGGGCCCGUACCUGGGUAAAACAUCGUGUCCCUUGUCUCCUGUUACCAUCCGCCUAGACGCACAGUUCGGGACCCCCUACCCGAGAUCCGCCGGUUUUGACACCGACAGUGACCGUUAAGAAAUGCCUUUUUGACGUCCAUUUGCCAUAUCUCAUAAUCAUAGUAUGCGGCAAGUGCUAACAUGAUUCGGACGGACUUCAGCUUCGCUAUGGGAGAGAAUGUCUCAUCAUAGUCAAUCCCUUGAACUUGUCGAUAACCCUUAGCGACAAGUCGAGCUUUAUAUAUGGUGACAUUACCAUCCACGUCCGUCUUCUUCUUAAGGAUCCAUUUGUUUUCUAUUGCUCGCCGAUCAUCGGGCAAGUCUGUCAAAGUCCACACUUUGUUUUCAUACAUGGAUCCUAUCUCGGAUUGCAUGGCUUCAAGCCAUUUGUUGGAAUCUGGGCCCGCCAUCGCUUCUUCAAAGUUCGAAGGUUCACCAUUUUCUAACAACAUGAUUUCUAAGACAGGGUUGCCGUACCACUCUGGUGCGGAACGUGUCCUUGUGGACCUUCAAAGUUCAGUAAGAGCUUGAUCCGAAGUAUCUUGAUCAUCAUCAUUAACCUCCUCUCUUGUCAGAGCAGGCACCACAGGAACAUCUUCCUAAGCUGCGCUACUUACCGGUUCAAGAGGUAGUACUUCAUCAAGUUCCACUUUCCUCCCACUUAAUUCUUUCGAGAGAAACUCUUUCUCCAAAAAGGACCUGUUCUUGGCAACAAAGAUCUUGCCCUCGAAUCUUAAGUAGAAAGUAUACCCAAUGGUUUCCUUAGGGUAUCCUAUGAAGACGCAUUUUUCCGACUUGGGUUCGAGCUUCUCACAUUGAAGUUUCUUGACAUAAGCAUCGCAUCCCCAAACUUUUAGAAACGACAGCUUAGGUUUCUUCCCAAACCAUAAUUCAUACGGUGUCGUCUCAACGGAUUUAAACGGUGCCUAUUUAAAGUGAAUGUAGCUGUCUCUAGAGCGCAUCCCCAAAAUGAUAGCGGUAAAUCGGUAAGUGACAUCAUAGAUCGCAUCAUAUCCAAUAGAGUGCGAUGACGACGUUCGGACACACCAUUUCGCUGAGGUGUUCUAGGCGGCGUGAGUUGUGAAACGGUUCCACAUUUCCUUAAGUGCGUACGAAAUUCGUGACUUAAAUAUUCACCCCCACGAUCUGAUCGUAAGAACUUUAUCUUUCGGUCACGUUGAUUCUCUACCUCAUUCUGAAAUUCCUUGAACUUUUCAAAGGUCUCAGACUUGUGCUUCAUCAAGUAGACAUACCCAUAUCUACUCAAGUCAUCAGUGAGAGUGAGAACAUAAUGAUAUCCUCCGCGAGCCUCAACGCUCAUUGGACCGCACACAUCAGUAUGUAUGAUUUCCAAUAAGUUGGUUGCUCGCUCCAUUGUUCCAGAGAACGGAGUCUUGGUCAUCUUACCCAUGAGGCAUGGCUCGCAUGUCUCAAAUGAUUCAUAAUCUAGAGACUCCAAAAGUCCAUCAGCUUGGAGCUUCUUCAUGCGCUUGACACCAAUGUGACCAAGGCGGCAGUGCCACAAGUAUGUGGGACUAUCGUUAUCAACUUUACAUCUUUUAGUAUUCACACUAUGAAUAUGUAUAACAUUACGCUCGAGAUUCAUUAAGAAUAAACCAUUCACCAGCGGGGCAUGACGAUAAAACAUAUCACUCAUAUAAAUAGAACAACCAUUAUUCUCGGAUUUAAACGAGUAGCCAUCUCGAAUUAAACGAGAUCCUGAUACAAUGUUGAUGCUCAAAGCUGGUACUAAAUAACAAUUAUUGAGGUUCAAACUAAUCACGUAGGUAAAUGUAGAGGUAGCUUGCCAAUGACGAUCACAUCGACCUUGGAACCAUUCCCGACGCGCAUCGUCACCUCGUCCUUCGCCAGUCUUUGUUUAUUCCGCAGCUCCUGCUUUGAGUUACAAAUAUGAGCAACCGCAUCGGUAUCAAAUACCCAGGAGCCACUACGAGCACUGGUAAGGUACACAUCAAUUACAUGUAUAUCACAUAUACCUUUGGUUUUGCCGGCCUUCUUGUCCGCUAAGUACUUGGGGCAGUUCCGCUUCCAGUGUCUGCUUCCCUUGCAAUAAAAGCACUCAGUUUCAGGCUUGGGUCCAUUACUCGACUUCUUCCCGGCAACUGGCUUACCGGGCGUGGCAACUCCCUUGCCGUGCUUCUUGAAGUUCUUCUUACCCUUGCCUUUCUUGAACUUAGUGUUUUUAUUCACCAUCAACACUUGAUGUUCCUUUUUGAUCUCCACCUCCGCUGAUUUUAGCAUUGAAUAUACCUCAGGAAUGGUCUUUUCCAUCCCCUGCAUAUUGAAGUUCAUCACAAAGCUCUUGUAGCUUGGUGGGAGCGACUGGAGAAUUAUGUCGACCACCACGUCAUCCGGGAGAUUAACUCACAGUUGAGAUAAGCGGUUGUGCAACCGAGACAUUUUGAGUAUGUGCUCGCUGACAGAACCAUUCUCCUCCAUCUUACAACUGUAGAACUUGUCGGAGACUUCAUAUCUCUCGACCCGGGCGUGAGCUUGGAAAACCAUUCUCAGCUCUUGGAACAUCUGAUAUGCUCCGUGCUGCUCAAAAUGCUUUUGGAGCCCUGGUUCUAAGCUGUAAAGCAUGCCGCACUGAACCAGGGAGUAAUCAUCACUAUGCGACUGCCAGGCGUUCAUAACAUCUUGAGUUGCUGGGAAAAUGGGUGCUUCACCUAGCGGUGCAUCUAGGACAUAUGCUUUCUUGGCAGCUAUGAGGAUGAUCCUCAAGUUCCGGACCCAGUCCGUAUAGUUGAUGCCAUCGUCUUUCAGCUUGGUUUUCUCUAGGAACGCGUUGAAGUCGAGGGCAAUAUUAGCGUGGGCCAUUUGAUCUACAAGACAUAUUGCAAAGAUUUUAGACUAAGUUCAUGAUAAUUAAGUUCAUCUAAUCAUAACAAUGAAAUCCCACUCAGAUGACAUCCCUCUAGUCAUCUAAGUGAUCCAUGAUCCGAGUCAACCAGCCCGUGUCCGAUCAUCACGUGAGACGGACUAGUCAUGAUCGGUGAACAUCUUCAUGUUGAUCGUAUCUUCUAUACGACUCAUGUUCGACCUUUCGGUCUUCCGCGUUCCGAGGCCAUGUCUGUACAUGCUAGGCUCGUCAAGUUAACCUAAGUGUAUUGCGUGUGUAAAUCUGGCUUACACCCAUUGUAUUCGAACGUUAGGAUCUAUCACACCCGAUCAUCACGUGGUGCUUCGAAACAACGAUCCUUCGCAAUGGUGCACAGUUAGGGGGAACACUUUUCUUGAAAUUAUUAUGAGGGAUCAUCUUAUUUACUACCGUCGUUCCAAGUAAACAAGAUGAAAAACAUGAUAAACAUCACAUGCAAUCGAAUAGUGACAUGAUAUGGCCAAUAUCAUAUUGCUCCUUUGAUCUCCAUCUUCGGGGCGCCAUGAUCAUCUUCGUCACCGGCAUGACACCAUGAUCUCCAUCAUCAUGAUCUCCAUCAUCGUGUCUUCUUGAAGUUGUCACGCCAACGACUACUUCUACUUCUAUGGCUAAUGCGUUUAGCAAUAAAGUAAAGUAAUUUACAUGGCGUUCUUCAAUGACACGCAGGUCAUACAAAAAUAAAGACAACUCCUAUGGCUCCUGCCGGUUGUCAUACUAAUCGACAUGCAAGUCGUGAUUCCUAUUACAAGAACAUGAUCAUCUCAUACAUCACAUAUAUCAUUCAUAACAUCCUUUGGCCAUAUCACAUCACAAAACACUUGCUACAAAAACAAGUUAGACGUCCUCUAAUUGUUGUUGCAAGUUUUUACAUGGCUUCUAUAGGUGAUCUAGCAAGAACGUUUUCUUACCUACAUUAAAGCCACAAUGUGAUUUGCCAACUUCUAUUUACCCUUCAUAAGGACCCUUUUCAUUGAAUCCGCUCCAACUAAAGUGGGAGAGACAGACACCCGGAAGCCACCUUAUGCAACUAGUGCAUGUCAGUCGGUGGAACCUGUCUCACGUAAGCGUACGUGCAAGGUCGGUCCGGGCCGCUUCAUCCCACAAUACCGCUGAAGCAAAAUAAGACUAGUAGUGGCAAGAAAGUUGUGAACAUCUACGCCCAUAACAAAUUGUGUUCUACUCAUGCAAAGAGAACUACGCAAAGACCUAGCUUAUGAUGCCACUGUUGGGGAACGUUGCAUAAAAUAAAAAAAUUCUUACGUUCACCAAGAUCAAUAUAGGAGUUCGUCCAGCAACGAGAGAGAGGAGUGCAUCUACAUACCCUUGUAGAUCGCGUGCGGAAGCGUUCAAGAGAACGGGGUUGAGGGAGUCGCACUCGUUGUGAUCCAAAUCACCGGAGAUCCUAGCGCCGAACGGACGGCACCUCCGUGUUCAACACACGUACGGUCAGCGUGACAUCUCCUCCUUCUUGAUCCAGCAAGGGGAAAGGAGAGGUUGAUGAAGAUCCAGCAGCACGACAGCGUGGUGGUGGGUGCAGCAGGGAUCCGGCAGGGCUUCGCCAUGCGUCUGCGGGAGGGAGAGGUGUAGUAAGGGGGAAGGGAGGCGCCAAGUGCAAGGGUGCGGCUGCCCUCCCUCCCCCCUCUUUAUAUAGGGUCCCUAGGGAGGGGCGCCGGCCCUAGGAGAUGGGAUCUCCUAGGGGGGCGGCGGCCAAGGGGGGAGCCUUGCCCCCUGUCGGUGUCAAAAUCGGCGGAUCUCGGGUAGGGGGUCCCGAACUGUGCGUCCAGGCGGAUGGUAACAGGAGACAAGGGACACGAUGUUUUUACCCAGGUUCGGGCCCUCUCAAUGGAGGUAAAACCCUACUCCUGCUUGAUUGAUAUUGAUGAUAUGGGUAGUACAAGAGUGGAUCUACCACGAGAUCAAGGAGGCUAAACCCUAGAAGCUAGCCUAUGGUAUGAUUGUUGUAAUGGUUGUUGUCCUACGGACUAAAGCCCUCCGGUUUAUAUAGACACCGGAGAGGGCUAGGGUUACACAGAGGCGGUUACAAUGGUAGGAGAUCUACAUAUCCGUAUCGCCAAGCUUGCCUUCCACACCAAGGAAAGUCCCAUCCGGACACGGGACGGAGUCUUCAAUCUUGUAUCUUCGUAGUCUUGGAGUCCGGCGGACGAUGAUAGUCCGGCUGUCCGGACACCCCCUAGUCCAGGACUCCCUCAGUAGCCCCUGAACCAGGCUUCAAUGACGAUGAGUCCGGCGCGCAUAUUGUUCGGCAUUGCAAGGCGGGUUCCUCCUCCAAAUAAUCCAUAGAAGAUUGUGAACACCAGGAUAGUGUCCGGCUCUGCAAAAUAAUUUCCACAUUCCACCGUAGAGAGAAUAUUAUGUACACAAGUUCAAUAUGCUGACGUAUCUUGUAGCAUGACGUCACGCCACUACCAAGCCUUUACUUGAAUCGUUUUUUAUUAUACCACCUCGGUGCGUUUAGCGAAGCGGUUUCCUUGGCACGUCUUGUCGAGGCAGAGAUCGUGUUCCCCUUAUUCCGGGAUUCUCAUCAAUACAGACGUGGGUAACCCAACCGCGCCAUUGAUGGUGGCGCUUGGGAGAUAAGCGAGUUUUACCAGGCCGGUGGGGACGUAUAGUCUUCGUCCGCCUAUAUAUAAGGGGAUAAGGAUCCACCUUUUCACCUACGCCUUCUUCCUCCUUUGCUUAUCCAUCUCCGCGCACUCUCGAGCUCCAGCGCCCAAGUCCGUGCAUCUCGCCUCGACCUUCUCCGACCAUGUCCGGAGCGGGAGGCAAAUGGCUGGCCUCCUCCGUGACGGAGGACCACAUCGCAAAACUGCGCAGUGCCGGAUAUCUUUCCGACGACAUCGCGCACCGGCUGCCCGACAAGGGGCAGCUCAUCCCCACCCCCAGGCCCCAUGAGAGGGUCUUUUUCAUUCCCCACUUCCUCCGCGGACUGGGCUUCCCACUUCACCCCUUUGUCCGGGGGCUCAUGUUCUACUACGGCCUGGAUUUCCACGAUCUGGCGCCGAACUUCGUCCUCAACAUCUCGGCGUUUAUCUUCGUGUGAGAGGCCUUCCUAUGCAUCCAGCCCCACUUCGGCAUGUGGCUCAAGACCUUCAAUGUCAAGCCGAAGGUAGUGAAGGGCACUCAUGCGGAGUGCGGAGGCGCCAUGUUGGGCAAGAUGCCCAACAUCAUCUGGUUCGAAGGGGCCUUUGUGGAGUCCGUCAAGGGGAGGCAAUCGGGGUGGUUCUACAUCACCGAGCCGCGCGACCCUAAGUGGGCGGCAGCCCCCGAGUUCAGAUCUGGUAUCCCUAUGCAGCUCACCUCCUGGAAAGAGAAGGGCUUGCUAUGGGGUAGUUCGGAGGAGCUGAUGGGACUCCAAGCCUGUAUCCAGAAGCUGGUGAGCAAGAAGCUCAGGCUGGUCAACGUGGUCCAAGUCAUGCUCAUCCGCCGGAUUCUCCCUUGCCAACAACGGGCGUUUAAUUUGUGGGAGUUCAAUCCGGCACAGCACCCGGCAUUGAGCGGGCUCUUCGACACGACGUACGAAGGUGCCUGGAGGGUGCUGUUCAAGGGCGCUGAGCCUCCCGCAUCCGCCACUGAAGAUCGCGGAUUUCGCUCGCAGCGUCCAGCUGACGAGGUAAGUGAUUCUACCCCUUUACGGGACACUUGUUUUCAAUAGUUUGACUCUACGCGGGUUUCAAUCUCCCUUUUCCUUUGACAGGACUGGAUGAGGAAGGCCGAGCAGAUCAUCUGCCCAGCUCCCAUGCCAGAAAACCCAGUCGACGCCCGUCUAGCGGGGCUGCUGGUUCCGGCACCGCAUGUGGUGCCGGAGAAGAAGGCCAAGAAGGAGGCCAAGGGAACUCGAAGAAGUUCCCGGCGCCAGGUGGUAUUGGACUCAUCGUCCGAUGGCUCCGAGGCGGACUCCUCCCCCGAAGACGAGGAGGAGAAAGAGGACUCUCUCCCAGAGGAGGGAGAGAGAAAGAGGAAGGCCUCCCCAACAGGGGAGGCCGAAGGGUCCAAGAGGGGAAGGACUAUUCCCCCGGACAGCUCCGCCAACAUCAACGUUGGCGACGAAGAGUGGCCCUCAAGGGCCAGGCCUCCGGCAAGAUCGUAAGUAUCUGGAUUCCUGAAUGAUUUACAAUUUCUCUUUUGUGUCACAUAGUGUCCUUCUAACGCCGCACACUGCCCGUAGUCCGGCCGAUGAUGAUCUCCCCGCUUCAUCGAGCGGGUCGUUGGCUCCGUCGGAUGUGGAUUCCAUCCCGACUGCCUCCACCCCUCGCGCCACUGAGGACGCUGAGGUGGGAUCCCAGGAAGGGACACAUCAGGAGGAGGCUCCGGAGGCGCCACAAGGCAGCCUCCCGGACUUUGUGCCGGACUCCACGCCGGAACCCGCAGUGGUUUCGGAGUCCGGCAGGCGGCCCCUUCGCAAGAAGGGCAAGACCAUGACGCCGGCGGCCCCCGUCCAACAGGAGGCGCCGGACAACUUGCUGGAGGCGCUCAAAGGCGCUUCCAUCGAGGAAGAACACCGCACUAUCAUGAGUGCGGUGAUUCAGAAGGUUCAGCUCGCCAAGAGCGGGCUGACCGAAGCCUGCAGUAGCCUUCUAACAGGCUUUGAGGUAAGAAGUUAAAAUUAUGUAACGUAAUACCGCAUAGACAGUAGCCCCUGAUGCUCGGUUCGGUGUUCGGAAAGAAAAGCCGGACUGAGGAUCUAAAAAGAUAUACGCAGGGUUGCUAAAAAUUAUGUCAAUAUGGGUUUGCAGGCUGCGCUGCUGACCUCUGCCGCACUAACUGCAAAGGUCGGUGCUUUGAAGCAGGACCUCGAGCGGUCCGAGCAAGAGCUCGGCCGUGCCAAGAAGCAGAUCGAGGACAAAGAAGGUGAGUAACACCACUUUGAAUAGUUACCUUACAGAAAAGGAUUUAGGUUGCAAUAACAAUAACAAGGAUAACGUGGGUACUGCAGGGGCCACGAACGAGGUGGCAACCCUGAAGGAGGCUAUGUUCGCGGCCGAACGCAAUGCGGCCACAGAACGGGCAGAGCGGGAGAAGCAGGAGGCGCGGGUGGCGGAGGUGCGGCAAGAGCUCCAGGCUCUCAUGGAAAAGCAUGAGAGUUUGGAGCGUGACUCGAAGACUCGAGAGUCCGAGCUUGCCUCGGCUCUCGAAAGUGACAAAGCCUCCAAGGCCGAGGCCCAUAAGGCCCUUCAGGAGGUUGAGGAUGUGAAGAAAAUAGCGGCGGGUAAGGCAUUUUUCAUGCAAAGCAAGCAUGUUAAUGUAGACUACCUGACACUUACCCGAAUUCGGAGCUCUCCAGGGGCGUUUGCAAAUCUGCCUCACAGUGUAUCCGAUGCCGCCGCGUUCUACCGUGGCGAGGAGGGGAGCUCAACGGAGAAGGUCUUCUGGUCUCAGUACGCUGAGGCCGGCCAUCCGGUGCCCCCUAGCGACCAGCUGAAGCAGCUGGUCGGGCUCCACAAGGUAGCCGAGCAGGCCAUGAAGGGCCUCAUAGUCCGGCUGUGGCCUGGAGAGGCCAUGCCUGGGAGCUACUUCGGCCUCGUGCGGCGGCUGGUGGAUGUGUGCCCCUGGGUGGAGGUCAUUAAGCGCUCCGCCUGUAUUGAAGGUGCUCGUCGGGCUCUUGCCCGCGCAAAGGUGCACUGGGGCAAGCUGGAUGCGGAAAGUCUUAUCACUGACGAGCCGCCAGCGGGCAAGGAGUAUCGUACGCCCGAGAUGUACUAUAAGACUGUCCUGAAGGGUGCCCGCAAGAUUGCGGAUGAGUGCCCCAGAGAUGUAAUUAUUGAGUAAACUCGCUAUGUAUUAUCCUGUGCGCUAAAAACUUUGUUCAUAUGCGCUAAGCAACGCUUGUUUAAUUUAAAAUAUUACCUUCUGUGCGGCCGUUUAUAAAAUCUGAGCGAUGGAAAGUCGUCAGCUUCAGCCCCCAUGCCACUAGUGCUGGGGUGUCGGGAUAAACUUGAGCACUCUUGCUCCCAUUUUUGGGUCCAUCUAGGGAGGCGCUCAACACAACGAACAAGGCAACCGGACUUAUAAUGCUUGAACACUCUCACUUAGCCAUAGAAUUCUAUAAUUUUAAAUUUCGGCGAAGCCCCUAGUAUUCGAAAGACCGAGUUCGGGGCGCUAUCCACGCCUUGGCCGGACAUGAUCCGGUUCUUCGCUCGAAGUGGCAUAAGUCUUUAGGGACUCGAAAAGACCUCUCGAACAGCGACCAGUCUCUCGCCUUAUCAUGCCAGUCAGUUUUAGCUUUCUCCACUGAGGCGCUCGCCCAGCUCAACUGGGGCGCAAUCGCAGUGGUUCUCCCAGUGCUACCUUAGCCGACGGAACGGAACGUAAGGUACCAAAACAUGGGAGCCGGGCAAACCCAACUAUUGACCCAAGACAUGAUUCGGAGCCGAUUCAUAUAAUGCUAUAAGUUUGGGGUGCCGCACUUGUGAAAGUGUUCGGACUUAUCACACCAAAAUGCUUGGAACAUAAGCCCCUGGUGUAUUCGGCCAUACCAGAAUAUACGGGUGCACGAUGUCGUUAAUGAACAUAUAUGUAAAGUGAUGCAAUUAUAGGCAAAAAAUGCUGCAGUAUUUAUUUUAAGGAAUUCUGCUAUGAGUGCGGAAUGAUACAAAUAGUGCGGUAAGCAAGGGAUUGGACUAAUUAAACAUGUCCCCCUCUAGGAAUGGGCUGCGGACUGGUGUGUAUAAUCAAAUUUAAUGCUCGUAAUGGAGACCACCUGAGUGUUCAUCGCAGCCUUUUUCCCUCCCUGGCUGUUGCAUCGUGAGUUCGGCGGGUUUGCCGCCGGACAGGGCCUCUGGUGAACGGAGUCCUGUGUAUAAAAAGAAUGAAUAAAAAUAAAAAGAGCGACACACUUGGGAGCCCCUGGUGUGGUCGAGCCGCACUCUAGGUCUGUUGUGGUCGUGCCCCUCCCCCUAUGCCCAUGGUAUCUCCAGAGUGUAAUGAUGUACGCGGAGGGCUGGUCUUGCAAUCAUGCGAGGGCUGGGGUUGGGGCCGCAUUGCUACGCGUGCUCGGAACGUGCCAGGUGGUCUUGAUUGAUGUUGCUCCGGGCGCGUUUGGCCGUGUCCGGUCGUUUAACGGCCGGACUCAAAAAUUGCCUUAAAAGGCUGCUCUGUACUUCUGCCGCGAGAGCCGCUGUAUGUUCCUCCGUUCGGAGGGAGCGUUCCAUAUUUCCGUUGACCGUGAUGACUCCACGAGGGCCUGGCAUCUUGAGCUUGAGGUAUGCAUAAUGCGGCACCGCGAUGAACUUUGCAAACGCGGUUCAUCCGAGCAGAGCGUGAUAGCCGCUGCGGAACGGAACUAUGUCAAAGAUUAACUCCUCGCUUCGGAAAUUAUCCGGGGAUCUGAAGACCACUUCCAGUGUGACUGAGCCUAUACAAUUGGCCUCAACACCUGGUAUGACGCCUUUGAAGGUCGUCUUUGUAGGUUUAAUCCUUGAGGGGUCUAUGCCCAUCUUGCUCACUGUAUCCUGAUAAAGCAGGUUCAGGCUACUGCCGCCGUCCAUCAGGACUCUCGUGAGGUGAAAUCCAUCGACAAUUGGGUCUAAAACAAAUGCGGCGAAUCCGCCAUGGCGGAUACUGGUCGGAUGGUCUCUUCGAUCGAAAGUGAUUGGGCAAGAGGACCAUGGAUUGAACUUCGGGGCGACUGGCUCCGUCGCAUAUACGUCCCUUAGUGCACGCUUCCGCUCCCUCUUGGGUAUAUGGGUUGCGUAUAUCAUGUUGACCGUCCGCACUUGUGGGGGGAAACCUUUCUGUCCUCUACUGUUCGGCGGCCGGGUCUCCUCCUCGUCGUCGCUGUGCUGCCCCUUGUCGUUGUUUUCGGCAAUUUACUUGCCUGCCUUCUUAAAUACCCAACAAUCUCUGUUGGUGUGGUUAGCUGGUUUUUCGGGGGUGCCAUGUAUCUGGCAAGAGCGGUCGAGUAUUCGGUCCAGAUUGGACGGACCCGGGGUGGUUCUUUUGAAUGGCUUCUUCCGCUGACCGGGUUUAGAGCCUCGGAAUCCGGCGUUGACUGCCGUAUCCUCCUUGUCGUCGCCGUUAACGUGGCGUUUAUUUUUGCUUCGACGCGACCUGCCAUUGUGGUCCUUAGUAUCCGGACUACCAGCAUUUUUACUGAGGUUGUUGCUGCGAGCUAGCCAGCUAUCCUCUCCCGCACAGAAGCGGGUCAUUAGUGAUGUGAGGGCUGCCAUGGAUUUCGGCUUUUCCUAUCCUAGGUGCCGGGCUAGCCACUCGUCGCGGAUGUUAUGUUUGAAGGCUGCGAGGGCCUCUGCGUCCGGACAGUCGACGAUUUGAUUUUUCUUUGUUAAGAACCGUGUCCAGAAUUGCCUAGCCGAUUCGUCUGGCUGCUGAAUUAUGUGUCUUAGGUCAUCGGCGUCUGGUGGUCGCACAUAUGUGCCUUGGAAGUUGUCGAGGGAUGCGGCUUCCAGGUCCUCCCAACACCCAAUAGACUCUGCUGGCAAGCUGUUAAGCCAAUGCCGAGCUGGUCCUUUAAGCUUGAGUGGGAGAUAUUUGAUGGCGUGGAGAUCGUCUCCGCGGGCCAUAUGGAUAUGAAGGAGAUAAUCUUCGAUCCAAACCGCGGGGUCUGUUGUGCCAUCGUAGGAUUCAAUGUUUACGGGUUUAAACCCUUCAGGGAUUUGAUGAUCCAUUACUUUGUCAGUGAAGCAUAGCGGGUGUGCGGCGCCUCUGUAUUGAGCAAUAUCACGACGUAGCUCAAGGGAGCGUUGUCUGCUGUGUUCGGCCCGGCCGGAGUUGUUGUAUCCGGCGCGACGGUAUUCGUCGUGGGUCGUGGGGCGCCCACGUGAUCCAUAGAUGGAUCUGGAUUGCCUUGCUUUGUCCUCCAAUAUAUAUCGCAAGUCCGGCGCGUUCCCUCGUGGCUUCGUACUUUUGGAGCGAUGCCGGGGUACGGUCUUGGUGGAGGGCCUGGAUGCCUCUCUGUCGCGACCACGGGGUGGUCGGUCGGCCGUAUUGUGCACUGGUAAUGAAGGUAUGUAUGCUUCCUCCUCUAAUAGGGGGAGCAAUUUGCGUUUUGGGUAACUCUUGGAGGGACGUUCGAGUUCAUACUCUUCGGCCGCGAGGACCUUGGUCCAUCUGUCGGCCAGCAGGUCUUGAUCAGCUUGAAGCUGCUGCUGCUUUUUGUUUAGGCUGUUUGCUGUGGCCAUUAGCCUGCGUUUCAAACGCUCUUGUUCGACGGGAUCCUCGGGCACGACGAAUUCGUCGUCGUCGAGGCUUGCCUCGUCUCCGGAGGGAGGUAUGUAAUUAUCAUCCUCGACCUCUUCAUCUGCAGCUCUCUCGUGAGGGCUUGCUUCUGCCUCCUCCUACACUGAAUCUUGCUGCAGGGGAUUUUCUUCGGCACUUUCUGGGGUGUUAUUAUCUCCUGUGCUGGAAUCUCCAUUCUUGCUGUGCCGGGAUUUAGAGCGGCGCCGCUGACGUCGGCGCUUGGGCUGUUUCUUUAAGGAAUCUGCCUCCGCUGCUUCUUCGCCGUCCCCAUCUUUUGGGGUGUCCACCAUGUAUAUGUCAUAUGACGAGGUGGUCUUCUAGUGCCCUGUAGGCGCUGGUUCUUGUUCGUCUCCGGCAUCGUCGUCCAUACCGUCGAUGUCUUCGGAGUCGUAGUCUAGCAUGUCGGUUAGAUCGUCGACAUUGGCUAUAAAGUGGGUGGUGGGUGGGCUUUGAAUUUCUUCGUCGUCUGCAUCCCAGCCAUCCUGGCCAUAAUCCGGCCAGGGCUCUUCGGAUAGCGAGAGAUGCUUUAGCGAAUUUAAGAUGUCGCCAAAGGGCGAGUGCUAAAAGAUGUCCGCAGCGGUGAACUCCAUGAUCGGCGCCCAAUCGGAUUCGAUUGGCAGGGGCGUAGGAGGUUCGGAGUCCGGCAGGGAGUCCGGCACCUCGGAGUCACGAGUUUUAUAGGGGACAAGGUCAGUGUUAAGCUCCAUCGCCGCGGAUGUUGCAGCUCCCGAGGUGGUGUCCAGCCACUCGUCCUCGAUCUGCGCGGUCGGCUCCGAACUAUGGGUCGGAGCGGAUUCGUGUGCGGCCUCCAAGGUACUGUUCGGCGGCAGAGCUAGAUCGUGCCCAUCGCGACAGUGCGGCACGCUCGGCUGCGGAUCGGAUCCAUCGAAGAUCAGGUCUCCGCGGAUGUCCGCCGUGAAGUUUAGGCUUCCAAAUCUGACCUGACGGCCAGGGGCGUAGCUUUCGAUCUGCUCCAGAUGGCCAAGUGAAUUAGCCCGCAGUGCGAAGCCGCCGAAUACGAAGAUCUGUGCGGGGAGAAAAGUCUCACCCUGGACGUCGUUGUUGUUGAUUGCGGAAGCCAUCAAGCCCAUCGGUGACGACACAGAGGAACUCUUAAUGAAAGCACCAAUGUCGUUGUCAAAACCGGCGGAUCCCGGGUAGGGGGUCCCGAACUAUGCGUCUAGGCGGAUGGUAACAGGAGACAAGGGACACAAUGUUUUUACCCAGGUUCGGGCCCUCUCGAUGGAGGUAAAACCCUACUCCUGCUUGAUUGAUAUUGAUGAUAUGGGUAGUACAAGAGUGGAUCUACCACGAGACCAAGGAGGCUAAACCCUAGAAUCUAGCCUAUGGUAUGAUUGUUGUAAUGGUUGUUGUCCUACGGACUAAAGCCCUCCGAUUUAUAUAGACACCGGAGAGGGCUAGGGUUACACAGAGUCGGUUACAAUGGUAGGAGAUCUACAUAUCCGUAUCGCCAAGCUUGCCUUCCACGCCAAGGAAAGUCCCAUCCGGACACGGGACGGAGUCUUCAAUCUUGUAUCUUCGUAGUCUUGGAGUCCGGCGGACGAUGAUAGUCCGCUGUCUGGACACCCCCUAGUCCAGGACUCCCUCACCCCCCAAGGCAACUGGAGGCGCCCCCUCCCCUAGGGUUCCCAACCCUAGGCGCAGGGGGGGCCCAAGGGGGGGGGGCGCACCAGCCCACCAGGGGCUGGUUCCCCUCCCACUUCAGCCCAUGGGCCCCUCCGGGAUAGGUGGCUCCACCCGGUGGACCCCCGCGACCUUUCCGGUGGUCCCGGUACAAUACCGGUGACCCCCGAAACUUUCCCGAUGGCUGAAACAGCACUUCCUAUAUAUAAUUCUUCACCUAAGGACCUUUCCGAAACUCCUCGUGACGUCCAGGAUCUCAUCCGGGACUCCGAACAACUUUCGGCUUACUGCAUAUUCAUAUCUCUACAACCCUAGCGUCAUCGAACCUUAAGUGUGUAGACCCUACGGGUUCGGGAGACAUGCAGACAUGACCGAGACGCCUCUCCGGUCAAUAACCAACAGCGGGAUCUGGAUACCCAUGUUGGCUCCCACAUGCUCCUCGAUGAUCUCAUCGGAUGAACCACGAUGUCGAGGAUUCAAUCAAUCCCGUAUACAAUUCCCUUUGUCAAUCGGUACGUUACUUGCCCCAGACUCGAUCAUCGGUAUCCCAGUACCUCGUUCAGUCUCGUUCCCGGAAAGUCACUUUACUCGUACCGUAAUGCAUGAUCCCGUGACCAUACACUUGGUCACAUUGAUAUGAUGAUGCAUUACCGAGUGGGCCCAGAGAUACCUCUUCGUCAUAUGGAGUGACAAAUCCCAGUCUCGAUUCGUGCCAACCCAACAGACACUUUCGGAGAUACCCGUAGUGCACCUUUAUAGCCACCCAAUUACGUUGUGACGUUUGGCACACCCAAAGCACUCCUACGGUAUCCGGGAGUUUCACAAUCGCAUGGUCUAAGGAAAUGAUACUUGACACUUGGAAAAGCUCUAGCUAAACGAACUACACGAUCUUUGAGCUAUGCUUAGGAUUGGGUCUUGUUGAUCACAUCAUUCUCCUAAUGAUGUGAUCCCGUUAUCAACGACAUCCAAUGCCCAUAGUCAGGAAACCAUGACUAUCUGUUGAUCAACGAGCUAGUCAACUAGAGGCUUACUAGGGACAUGUUGUGGUCUAUGUAUUCACACGUGUAAUACGAUUUCCGGAUAAUACAGUUAUAUCAUGAAUAAUAGACAGUUAUCAUGAACAAAGAAAUAUAAUAAUAACCAUUUAUUAUUGCCUCUAGGACAUAUUUUCAACACCGAGAUCAUUAAUACACCACAAGCAGCAACGAAUGAAUGGGAAGGAAGUGGCGGAGUGUCAUUAUGACUACAUGCAUGUAAGUAUUAAAAAGUUGCUAGUAAGAGGAAACAUCAUUAAUUUUUGCCUCGAUUACUAUUGGUGGCUUGUAUUGAUGUAAAAUGUAUUUUUGAUAGUGGCCUUGUAUAAGGGAAUGGAGGGAGUACUUACAAAUAUUCUUUGGCCCCCCUUGUGUCGAAUCAACAAAUUUGGGUGAAAUACUACCCUCGAAGACUGUCGCGGUCCCCUAUACUUGUAGGUUACCGAAUAAUAAUUUAACAUUAUCUUUUCAUUAGUUGAACCACUCAACUUCCAUUUGAUACAAGUGGCAUGAUAUUUGGACAGGAGAGUUAUCUGUUAACUUUGUACCAUUUCUAUUUGUAAGCUAAUAAUUAUGCACCAUGCAUUUGUCGUCAUUUUCCAAGUUCUCCAUAAUUUUUGAAAAACUGUCUUGUGAAAUAUUGUCUCUGCGAAAAAGGGUUAUUGCAUAUUUUUUUUAAUUUUUUCUAAAAUAGAGGGUUCCCAGUAAAAAAGGGUAGGAGUACUCACUAGCUGAAGUAAUAGCAUAGAACUACCAAUUAGCAUUGUUUUACAUUUAGUAGGAUUAUCGUUGAGGUAAUACAGGAGACUAGGAAGUGACUUCUCCAAUGAAUUCGGAUAAUUAUCGAUAUUUCCCAAAUUUUAGCUUUAUUUGAUUAUAAAGUAGGAUUGCUGACUUGCAAUAUGAAUAUUUGUUUUUAACAUGUUAGGAGGAUAAUGCACUGAUUCAAGUUCUUGAGUCAGGAUAAGAAUAUAUUUUUUAUUAUGUCAACAUGGAUGGUGUCAUUAGAUGUCUACAUGAACGAUAUGUUUUAGAGCAUCCAACCUAUGGCAAUAUCUUUGUAAGCAUGUAUUUUAUGGUGGAUUUUACAUGACUAAUUUUUUUACUCCCCAAUAAAUUGUCUUGGCCAUUUGGUCUUUGGAUUGUCUAUGAAUGUGUCUUGAUUAGACAUUGUGUCAAAGGAAUUUUGUUGCGAUCAAAUUUUACAUUGUGUAAGCCUUAACACUAGGCCUAGACAAAAGAGAGAGAAAUAUGUACAUCAGUUGUUUGCUUCUUGAUAUCAAAUAAUAGCCGAAGGGUCUAGCUUUCUAUUCUUUGGGCUUGAUCCAUCUAGAAAGAGUGAAUUUUAAGAUGACUGCAAGCAAGGUUACUGGUUGACUGUUUGUAUCAUUAUUUUGUUUUAUUCGUCUUUUAAUCGAGCAUCUUUUGACCUUCUAAUCAAAUACAUUUAAUUAUCAUACAUUUAAAAAAUAUAUUUUGUGUUUGCUUAUGUAUGUUAUAUGGAAUAAUUGGGCCAAAUAUCGUCCCACAUUUUUGCAUGUCUUAACAGAGAGUUUGCCUAGACGGGGUUUUUUAAAUUUAUCCAAGGAUAAUAUUUAUACUAAACUUUUGUAGUUAUUUAGAUUUGUUUUAUCUACUGAUGGCCCCAAGUAUUAAGUUAAUGUAUUAUUUUGUUUAGCGUAAUUAUACUUACAAUGUUGAUACACAUAUGUGUUUUUGUUAGAGAGCCCAAACAUCGUCAUUGAAAAAAUACAUAUUUGUUAAAAUUGAAGCAUAUGAUGUAAUUACAUUCAUUCUUUACGAGCCCCCCACCCCCCACCAAAUAUGUUGGUAGAUAAGAUUUUUUAAGUUUAAGGAAAAACAUAUUAUUUCACAUUCAAGAAAGUAUAAAGGAUAAAAUUGCAUGUCUGAAUUAAUGAUAUUGUAUAUUGUUUAUGUAUGUGUGUAUACUUUAUAUUCAUAUGGCUCUUAGAAAGAUCAUGAAUGCAUAAAAUCUGACAAAUUUCUUUACUAAGGUUUUCAGUGUAUGAUUAGGUAUUAACAAAAUAAAAUAUUCUGGACUAUGUAUAUAAUGUUGAGAAAAAAUUGCAAUAGUUACUCCAUUGUAUCUUUACUCAUUUUACCGUAGAUCUAUGUGUUCUUGUAUUUUCUAAUGGAUUCAAUUGUCUCAUCUAUAAUAGUUCGGCUUAGUAUAUGUCACUAGCAAAAAAAGGCUUAGCAAAGGUCCAUCAAAGUUGCUCCAAUGUCUAACUACUUAUGGUACAUAAUCUUCAAAGCCUAACUCCUAACUGUUUUUCCUUUUAGAGAAUUGGAGCAACACCUUUUUAUUUGGUCCUAAGAAUGUCGAAAUUAGGUGGUGAUCUACGGUUACAAUCAUCAUAGUUUCAUCGUGUAUCAAAACCAAGUACACAACGAAAACAUUGGUUAUAUAUAGAUACAUACAAAGGUUAUCACCACAUAUAUGUAACAUUCUCUUAUUCAAUGCUCGGACUUGCACUUCGAGGCGAAAACCAUGAUCCAUACUUGGAUCAGGUAGCGGCAAUGUUCAUGUGUCGUACCCUUUCAAGUGGCUUCGCUUUUGGAGAACAUAUGCGCAAUCCAGGUGUUGCAAAUAGUGUUGAUUGAUGUGGAUGGUUAGUUUUUUCCGUCUUUGAUCGCUUAGGCAUGCCCCUUUUUGGCUCAUGUAUUGUUCUUCAUCUUUUUCUCCAAUAAUUUGGAUAUGCAACCUUAAAUGUCUUGUGUAGCUCCAGACAUUGUGUUGUUGUAAUGGAUAGAUGCAUUUUGAUGCAAAUUUGAUAUUAUAAUAUCGACCUUAUCAGUAAUAUGACAAAUGUUAACUGUACUAGAAGCAUUCACGCGCUUUGUUGCAGCGUUGAACUACUACGAUGAUAAAUCAAACUUACGCUCUCUUCGUUGCUCCAUUUUUUCAGCAAAUAAACUUCCGCUUAUUUUGACCAUGGUUCGAGUAAAGAGUGGAAAGCACGUUGAGAAUACCUUUUUUUGAAAGAGAUUCUUUUUAUAUUCACCAUAAAGAAUAGUAGAUGUGAGCUAAGAAAAAUAAAAGAUUCUCGCUACAAGAGAUAGAAACAGAAUGACACGAACAAAGUGGUAAAUCAUAAUAAACACUUCUCCAUUUAAAUGUUUUUGUAAAAUCUUCCUUUGAAAAGCAUCAUUGACAAAUCCAAAUAAAAUUCCGCCCAACCAAAAUAUUAGAUUAACUAAGUGUCCAUAGGUGAAAGCGUAAAAUGGAGGUAAGCACAAGUUUUACUUUAAUAUGUUGGAUUUACCUGAAUAUAUCUAUAUAUGUAUAUAUAGACAUAGAUAAAUUAUUUGGGGCACAAAUGUGCCUGGGCACCUACAUGGUUUUACAUUAAUGCCACGUGGAUCCUAACCCAUUAGAUUAUGCUUGCAAUUCCAUAUGUGAUAUUCAGUUUCUAUUUCAAAAUUAGCAUGUAUGCAUUUGUUCCCGAACAAUGCAUGCAUGCACAACUUUCUUUGCAUGCAUGAUUGUCAUUUGAUUAUUUCCAAAAUAACCUUAACAGGGACGACUUGCCGAGGACAUGAUACCUAGAAAUGAUAUACCCAAGAGUUAUAUGUCCAAAGAUGAUAUACCCUAAAAUUAUAAUUAAAGUUCAAUAUACUCGAAUGUAUUCUUCCAAGGUUGUGAGUAUGGACUAUAUCCCGGAAUGUACCCAAGGUGUGAUAUAGAGAAAUGAUAUACGCAAGGUACUAUACAAAGAAAUGAUAUACCCAAAAAAUAUAUGUCCCAAAAAUGAUAUGCCCCAAUAUUAUAAUUAAAGUUCAAUAUACUCAAAAUUAAUAUACUCAAAUGUAUACUUCCAAGGUUGGGAGUAUCAAAAUUAUAUAACCAAAAGGAAUAUACUUAAAUGUGACAUAUCCAAAACAUUUCCUAAACAUAAAUUAAAGCUAAUGUUUCCUCGUAGUUCAGUAUAUACUUAUGUCAUGGUGAGCUGAAAUGAUAUUUUCCUACGAGGAAAUAUAAAUGCGCAUUUACACAAUCGCUCUAUUAGAUCAUCUUAGUACAUUAGAGUAUAUACAUUGCGUCUCGUUGGUAGGUAUUUGAUACCUCGGGCAUGUCUAUAUGAUUUGGAGUACUUACACAAUUUUAUUGAUUGAAAUAAUUGUUUUUGGAUAUCUUGGAUAUAGACAUUCCUGGGAAUAUCUUUGGUACUAAAAAAAUUCACAUAGUCGCACAUGCUGUAUGUGUAGGUAUAUACAUACAAAAUUUGUGUCCAUGCUCAUGAUAUUUCGUGGUAUCUGCAUAUCAUGAUAUUUCUGGGUAUAUACAUUGCGUCUCAUGAGUAGGUAUUUGCUACCUCGGGCAUGUCUAUGAUAUGCAGCACGUACACAAUUUAUUGAUUGAAAUAAUUUUCUCAUUGUGAUACCUUGGGUAUAGGCAUACCGAGAAUGUCUUGGGUAUUAAAACAAUUCACAUACUCCCAAAUACUCCCUCUAUAAACUAAUAUAAGAGCAUUUAUAUCACUAAAAUAGUGAUCUAAACGCUCUUAUAUUAGUUUACGGAGGGAGUAUUAUAUAUUUUUAGGUAUAUACAUACCUGAUUUGCGUUGUACUCAUGAUAUUUCAAGGUAUCUGUAUACUGAUGAUAUUUCUGGGUAUACACAUUGCAUCCUAUUAGUAGGUAUUUGAUACCUCUGGCAUGUCUCUUUGAUUUGGAGUACGUACACGGUUUAUUGAUCGAAAUAAUAGAUUUUUUGUGAUGAAUACCUCAUGAAUGCAUCAAUGUUUGUAUGUACAUGUAUUUUUCUAUAUGUUGAAUCUCCGUCGGCCGAGCAACCGCAUUGUGCAGACAUGUAUUUAUACUUCAAUCUAAAGAGAAUGCAUUUAAAGAUAUUGACUACAGAAUAAAUAUAUGAGGCAAGCAAUAGUUUGAGAAAUUCAAGGGUGGAAAGUCCUGCAUGCAAAAUAGUUAAGAAACAGUGAAACAUAACCACAAAAAAUUUGCAUGCAGAAUUGUUAGGAAUGGACUGCGAUGUGUGUUGGUGUUAGUUACCCUAUCCUUUCCCGGGACAACGAGUCAAGCCACCAGCACCACCGAAAGAGGGCGUGGCUGGCUCAUGGAAUUGGCUAGUCCUAGCUACUGUUUUUGCUUUCCUUGUGAAUGAAGUGGUCAAUCCUACUACUAUUAUCUAUCUAGCUAUAACUUGGUACUUGGCAGGAUGUGAGAUUGAUCCAUGGUACUAUUCACUUAUGUCAUCAAGAUAUUAUCGAGCAUAGCCAAAACCAAGGGCCUUCUCGCUGCUCCUCACGAUCAUUUAAUUGCCAAACAAAUGCAUUUGUUCCUAUCACAUCGACUUUCAGCCUAAUAUCUUUUUUUAAACCCACAAGUUUUGGGAAUGCUAUAUGCAAAUGCUACCUAUGGCACCGCCUGUCAAACGACGCCUGAAUGAAUUAUAUAUGCUCAACACAAAGGUAGUAUGUUUGCAGAAAAAAAAAA